AAAAAUAAAACUCCUACAUGUAUAUUAUUAUGUUUUACAUAUGCAUUGUUUAAAUUAUGUGUAUCACUCUUGCCAACCAAAAAAAUAAAUUGUGUAGCACAGGCAUACACUUUUUACCUAUAUAGCUUUAUGAUCAAUAUAAUUAUGUGCUGAUGGUGUAUCUAGCAAACUAUUCUAUAUAUUUUGAGGUCAAUGAGGACCACUUAAGUUUUAAAAUAAAUAUAAGGUCUUUAAGAUAAUUUUCUAAAAUCCAAAUAAUUUGAUCCAUUAAAAUAUUUUAAGAAAUCCAAAUAACCAGAAAGGUUAAAAAAAUAAAUAACCAGAAAGGUGCAUAAUUAUAUGUAUUUUACAAACAUAAUCUGAAUAAAUACAUGUAUACAUAAAAAUGAAAUUUAGUAAUAUUUAUACAUGGAGGUUGAGUAGCUCAACUUACUACUAGAAAAACACGAAUUAGAGUCGGAAUUUAGGGAGGAAAAAAAUUUGUAACUAAUUGUGACGGUUUUAAAGACGGAUAUUCAUAUACACCACAAAAAUUGAGAGGACAAACAUUAGUGACAUAAUGGAUUAAUUAUCCGUCACAAAAAUUCCGUCACUAAAUCCCUCAAAAAAUUGAUUAGUUAAAUGUUUGUUAUGGAAAUGAUCCUUCUCAAAUGUUUCCCUCACUAAAACCAUCACUAAUGUCAACUGCAUAGUUAAAGAACAAUUGAAGGCUUACAAGGAGUUGAUCGUGCAUCGCAAUAAGAUUAACGUUUGUUUAGGGAGCAAAUGACUAAAUUUAUGAAAAUGUUUUCUCAAGGUCAUCUAAUUUAUGAAAAUAUUUUGAUUUUGGUUUUUCAAGAACAAUGUGCUACUUCUAAUACCAUUAAAUUUUUUGAAAAGUGUUUGUUAAGAAACUUAUUUUGAGAGUUUCCUUAUGACUUUUAUGUAUUUUAAGAGUGUUGAACAAUGGUUGUAAAUUUAUUGAAAGUAUCCUUGACGUUUAUGUUUUAUGGUGAUGAAUGCAUGUGAUGCUCAUGAAGACAAUUUAUAAAGUGUUUUUUUAUUGUGUAUUUAUAAUUUCCAACAAGUUUCAUAUGGUUUAAUAUAGUAAAUGCAUUUGCAAUAAUAAUAUAAUUAAUGAAAGCUGGCAAGAAAUUAAACAUUAGAUGAGGAAUGCAAAUUUUUGUUUGAAUUUUCUCACUAAUUAGUGACGAAAAUAAAUUGUCAUAAAAUCAUAAGUGUAGUCUGUGAGGGAAUUCAGUUUCGUCACAAUUAGGGACAUAAUAUACCCUCACAAUCUGUGAGGGAAUACCAAUCAGUCAUUAAUUAGUGAUAAAUAUUGGUGAAAAGGAUGGAAUGGUCCCUCACAAUUAGCGACGGAUUUUAUCCAUAUCCAUUAGCGACGGAAACCAAAAUCCCUCACCAAUAUUUAGCAAGGUCAAAAUUCGGAACGGAUUACCGGUCGUCACAAAAUUCGUUUGUGAGAAUUAUAGUAGUUUAUUGACGGAUUUCUACCCUCUCUAAAAUUGAUUUUUCUAGUAGUGUGACAAAGAGAAAAAGAAAAAAAAAAUUGAUAUAACGACCAAUAGUUUUUAAUAUUACAGAAAUGAUAACUAAACACAUAAAUUUAGCCACAAAUACGACACCAGGGGUAAAAUCGUAAUUUCCAUUAAAAAACAUGUGCAUAAUUGGUUUUCCAACAGAAACUGAGGGGUAUUUUCGUGAAUUUUCAUUCAAUUUCUUUCUCUCUCUAAACUUUCUCGUUGUCUUCUCCGAUCCACCUUAUGUUCUCACCACCACUGCAUUUUCUCCAAUCCACCCACUGUUCCACCACCAUACCCUCUUCUUGUUUUAUAGAUCAGGUCCCAAGGAAAGAAAUUUGCAUAGGAGAGAGAUCUGUAAAAGAGAGAGAUGUAGAGAAGAGUGAGAACAGGAGAGAGAUGGCAGAGGACGACUGCCGAUCGUUGUGGGUUUGCGGAGAAGAGAGAAAUUGAGAUUUGAUUUGCAAAUGAGUAUGGGUGGUCGUCGACGGAGUUGAAGAGAUGGAUGGAGUCGACGACGGUGGCUGGUGGCCGGAAGGGGUGUGUUCGAGAGUUGCAGAGACGGCACAAGAGAUGAUGACUUGCAAAGAUGGUGUUGGGAUGGUAGUUCGCAGAUGAAAAGAAGACGGUCUGAGUUGCAGGGAAAAGAUUAAAAUAAAAUAGAAAGCAUAAAUGAAUAAGGAUGUCGUACGGUGUCGUAUUCUUGUCCAAAAACUUGUGUCCAGUUAUCAUUCCUGUUAAUAUUAAGUGAGACUUAAUUUUUUUUUUUUAAUAUAUGAAGUCUAUUUUAUCUGCAUAUGAUGCCUUUAUUAGAAGAUGUGUUAGGGGUCUGCUACAAUAACUUAACUAAGAAGAUGAUGAAGAAGAAUGCACAUAUAACUUUCAAAGCAUGUGUGAGACACACUAACCUUUAGGUUCGGCUCGUUCCCACCAAUUAUGUCAACAAAAUGCAAAAUGGUAUAACGGUGAAUCCCCUUCAGGAUACUUUAAAAUCUUUGACAUGACUUGCACAUUCAUACUAAGCGUAUCGAACAAUGUUAAUUUACAAAACAAAGUUUUGUCGAUUUCUCUCGUGCACUAGAGAAAAGAAAGAAUGAUAUAGUAUUAUUUUAGGCAGUAUUUUGACUCACAAGAAUGUGACAUUCUAUUCUAUUUUUUUGAAUGAUUUUCCUACUCCAAAGUAUAUCUAUUUAUAGAGAAACUUAUGUUUUUUUUUUUUUUUGUGAAGAGAUACAACUCUUCAACAGAGAUUUUGCAAUGACAAGAUGCAGUGAUUAUAUUGGUCAAAUAGUCAAGCAAUACAUCUUUUCACUUAAAUGUCUCUAUUCAAUCAUUGCAACUUUUCAAAUUUAUAUUUUGGAAAUUCCUUUCACAACCUUUUUAUUUGUAAAAUCUAAAGAAAAAUACUUUUUGUUGGUGUGUCUAAAACGAUAGUUGCUUAUAAAGGACUCUUAUUAUGUUUAAUUCUCGUUUUUCAUCUUCGUAAUAUAUUAAAUAAAUCAACGUAGAAUUAAACAUAAUAAAAGUAUUUUAUACUUAUAAACAUAUUUUUUUGAAGGAACUUUUUCAAAAUUUGUGUUGGAUCACAAUCUCACAAAACCGGUUCCACUUAUGUCUUAUCCCUUUCAAUGCCAGACUUUUACUGACUUAUUAUUCAUACAUAAUAUCAAAAUUAAGAGGUUUAUUUUUUUAUAUAAGAAAAUAAUGGUUCACACACACUUUUUUAUAUGUUGAAUAAAUUAUUUCUAAAAAAAUAUAUUAAAUUAAUUAACAUGGAUAUAUAACCAUUGUUUAGUUAGGUCAAAUGUUUAUUUGUUAGAAUCACUAAUGCAUUCAACGAUGUUUGUUCAAUUGGUAAAAGUUGACUCAUAUUUUAUGUUCUAUAUACGUGAGUUCAAUUUUCGCAUUUGUAUAUAUUUUGAUCUAGUUCCCCUCUUUUUGUAUAUAUUUUUCUCAUUUUUUAAUAAAAUUUUAGAGUUUGGCGGUAUAUGAUGGAGGUUUCUCGGGAUACCAACCUAGUUGGUUUGUCGAUGUUUCCUUUUGAUAUAUGUCCUCUCUUCUUAUCUAGUAUAAAUAAAAAAAAAUCUCUCGUAUUUGUGGUUAUAACCUUGUUAGCUGAUAAAAAAUUUAAGAAAAUGUAUCCACUCUCAACAUUUCAUAAGAAAAUGUAUCCACGCAGCCAUGCGAGUGUGCUUUGCGAUCUUAUCUGUUCCUGUAAUUGUGACAUGGUGUUGUAAUUGAACAGUGUGAGAUUAAUUUUUCUCUUCAACCAUGUAACAUCUACGCACAGCUAAAUUCUUGCGGUAGAUAAAGGACCAUAAUAAACAAAUAAAUUCCAUACAACAAAUAUUUUAGUGCACAUAUAAUUUUCAACACUAGAGACCGGUGAGUAGGUAUAAAUAUUCAAAAUAUAAUUAAAAAUAUAAUUAUAUAUGUAUUUGUAAAACCUCUCAACAAAGUUUUUCCAGGUAAUUACAUAGCAGAUACAUCAUACAUGUGCUCCGUUCCAAAGUUUUUCCAGGUUGUUAUAUGGAAUGCGAAGUUCAACAAGAUUCCAUGGAGAAAAAUUUGAUGGUAGAGAAUUUAAUGGAUACGCAUUCCAUUCAAAGCUUCUCAAAUUGUUAGGCAAAAAAUCAAGACCCCCACAAAGAUGCACAUAAUUAAUUCCCUUAACAUCUUGAUUGUGGCCUUCGAAAACAGGUAAUCUUCGGUUUGACAUAUUUGUAAAUGCUUUAGAGCUCAAAUUUAUGCAGGUAAAUUUGAGCCAUUUCUAUGCAUAUGCUUUCAAGUGCACUACUCCCCUAAUAAAUGAAAAUUAGAAUCAAUGUUAAUACUUUGUGGUAAGUUGCAGUUAAAAACACACACAUACAUACAUGUUUUUUGGAAUGCAAAGCUAUAUAUCAUUCAUACAUUAUUGUUUGUCAACACAUCACAAAUUUCGCUAGCAUUCCACAAUCUACUGCGUUUUCCAGGGUUUUUGAUAGAUUCUUCCCGAACAAUUUGCCUAUCCAUUUCUUGUAUCAAGUCAUGUAUCUCUAUGUGACUGUUUAAAGUAAUAGUUACAAGAGCCUUGUCUAACAAGUUUCUUAUCCCAAUAUCUGCAAAGAAACCAUAGGCAUUUAAUAUUUUUGUUACACUGCUGCUGCUAGAAAUAUAUUUUUCUCUGUAUCAUCUAAUUCAUCAUAACUUAAUCUCAACACCUUUUGAAUUUCAGCAUUGGAAAUUUCCUUCAGUUUAUUUAGAGCACUAUCCCAUUCUUUUUUACUUUUUGUACGAAGAAAUGAACCCAGAACUUUCAAAGCCAAAUGGUUGCCUUUUGCAUAAGAAACUACAUUGUUUGAUAUUUCCUACAAACAUUUUUGUAAGAAAUAAAUUAAAGGGAUAAAAUUUCAGUCAUACAUGAGAGUUUCAGUCCAGGACCUCCAACUACUGAUUUCUUCACACACACGCGCGCGCACGUACAAGUUUUGAUAUAUGAAACAUUUUUUAUUUGCAUAUGAGGUUUUACUAGCAUUACUUUUGGAUCAACACACACACACACACAAGUUUGAUAUAUGAAACCUUUUUUAUUUGCAUAACUCUGAUUAUAGGAUACAUGUAUGGUAAUAAGAAGGCAAGUUGAAUGCGAGUUUUGCCGCUCUUUCCCAAACCCUCUUGUAAAAAUACCUACAUAUUAUCCCUAUUUAUGACAAUGAAUCUUGACUCAAUUUAUAAUGAGUUGACUCCUACCAAAUAAGGGUAUGAAUUCAAUUCUUGUUGCCAAUGUGAGGACAUCUUUAAAGGAGGAUAUGUAAAUUCCUAUGCUAGUGAUCUCUAAUCCUUGAUGUCUGCUCUAGCUCUAGUGAGCCUCCAAAAUCUAAUUCACAUAAACUUUUCUUUAUAAAUAAAAGAUUUUACUUUUUUUUUUUUUUUUUUUUUUUUUUUUUUUACUAUCUCAUCUUAAAUUUUGUUGUAGGCCUCAAAUAUAGAAGAUAAAAAGAGUUUGGUUUUGUUUAUGUAACAUGUUUGUCGAAAGUUAAAACUCACUAAGAAAUUACAUCCCUUCGACUAAGUUGGAAGAUAUCCCUUACCAUCUCAUCCAUAUAGAUGAACUAAAACUAAUUUAUAAGACUAAAUUAUCAUAUUAUAAAUUUGAAGGAUUAAAUUAUCCAACCCUUUUAAUUUUUCAAAGAUCGAAAUAUAUGCCAUUUGAGAGAGAUAAAUGUAAAUAUUUUUGUAAGUGUUCUUUGAAUUCUAAGGUCUUCGUUAUCUUGAACUUAGAUACCAUCUCUCCGGUCUAAAUUUUAAUUAAAAAAUAAUUAAAAUACAUAUUAGAUGAGAUGACACGGGUCUCUUAUAGUUUAACUAAAGUCAUGGUUUCAAAUCCAAUCUUGAACAUGCAGCAACAUUAACACACUUAAAGAGAGCUUGCCGCCCAUUUAAAUCCCACAAGACUCAAGUGAUUAGUCUCCACAAUUACGCACGAGAAGGAUACCUGAUUUGAAAAACAAAUAAUCAAUUGGGCCUAAUAGACAAUUCUCGCAUCUCAGCCUUAUUAUCUCUACAAACUUCAAUCCGAAAAAGAUACGACACACAAGAGUUGAAAAUCCAAACGACAGUGUUUGUUGAUUAAAAUGUCCUCAACCAAUAAUUAAAUUAUUGAUAUGCUUAGUUGUCAAUCCAAACAUGUCAUAUAUAGGAACGCAAAAACAAAACUCAUUUUUGGGCAGUUUGAGAUGGGAAGAUAUAUGAUAGAUGCUUAAUAUGGCUUGUUCUCGUGAGCUUAGUUCAGUUGGUAGAGACAACAUAUAAUAUAUGUAAGGUCCAGGUUCAAAUCCCGACCACCAUAAAAGAAUGCUUAAUAUAGGUUAUUAAUACUUGGCUUUUAUAUGUGUUUAUUCCCUGCAAAUAGGGGUCAUUUAAAAAUUGGUCCCUGUAUUCUUUAAUCCUGACAAUUUGUCCUGCCAAAAUUUAAUCAUUUAAUAUUUCGUCUCUCUCCCCACUUAAUCACUACCACGUCACUAAUUACAGGGAUAUUUUUGUAAUUUCAUGUUUGUAAUUUCAGCGACGUGGCAUUAAUUAACUGGGCUGAGGGACCAAUUUUGAAGUGAUUAAAUUUUGGUAGGGCAAAAUGCCAGGAUUAAGGAAUACAGAGACCAUUUUUUAAAUGACCUUUAUUUGCAGGGACUAAAGACACACAUAUGAAAGCCUUAAUACUUUUUGAAGCAAAAUUGAUUUGAAAAGGUUCGAAAGAGAAAAGAACACAACCAAGUUGUUUGGGCUCCACUGGCAAGGAGCUCCUUACAAUGAUGUACCCUGGAAAUACCGAGUUCGACUCCUAGGGGAACAAUGCUUGACUAGUACACAUGUCUCUAUAUACGAGCCGGAUUAGACGUUCAUAUUUAGUGGAUCGGAAACCGGUGCAAAGUACAUUCAAAGAUCUUUAGAUGUAGGUUCAUCAAAGUAUGACCUUCUAUAUCCUCGUUGAUAAUGCAAAUUUAAGAAAUUGGAUUUCAACUGAGUUGUGUGUAAAGUUUCCUAUGGCCUUAAUCUACGUGCAUCCACGGUAUCUCCUCCUCCUCCAGAAUCAAUUCCAAUGUCUUCCAUCUCAUCUUCCUCUCAUGACGAUCUUCACCUUAGAAAUGAAUAUUUUCAACUACUCCCUCUCUUUUUGAUAUGACAAAGGGGGGAAUGAAUUAAGGAGCUAAAUUUAGAAAUUUGAGAAGUAAUAUUUUGUGUACUCUAGAAAUGAAUAUUUAGAAAUGAAAUUUGAGAAGUAAUUUAGAAAUUAAUAUUUUCAACCACACGAUCUAAUGUUUGCUUAUUUCUCCUACUAGUAUUUUAAUUUCUAAAUUAGGAUUAAUUGCUUUUUAUUUUGUUUUAAACCAUUUGAAUAUUCAAGAAAAUCAUUUGUGAUGUAAUUUAUUUAGUAUGAAACUAUGAAUGAUAUAUUAUGGUUCAAGUAAAUCACAAGUUUAGUUACUCAAUUUGCAUUUUAAAACUUUAAUAUGAUAUUGAAUGCUAAAAUUUUAGGGAGAGCUCUUUGUUAAAAAUAUACAAAUAUUGUUACUGAUUUGCUUAAUGAGAAUCAUAAAUUAAAAUCUAAUUCAACAAGUUUGUCAUCAUAAAAAAUAAGAGUUGCUGAGGUAAAAUUCCAAUUUUAUAAUAAACAUUUGAAGAAUAUUUUUAAGACUGAUAUCUAACCUGUACUUUUGAGUGGUUUAAUUUAUAGACAGGUUCUGAUUAUGAUACAAGCAUCUCAUAUUCGCGACAUAAUUUAAUCCAUCUUUGUGACAUGAUGCAUCCCUCUAAAUUGCGAUAGAUUGAUAUUUUGUAACAAAAUCCAUCACUAAUUUGUGGUCAAAAUCAAUAAUUAUAUGUUAUGUUUUCGUUUGGUAUUAGUGAUGGAAGAAUUAAGAGUUUGUUUGAGUUCAAGUGGUUAAUGAGUUCCACAUAUGAUGAAUUGUUUAAGAGAAUCUGAAUUCGAUUUCUGAGUGAAAUAAUUCUAUUAUUAACCAAACUUUACUUAUCUUCUGAUCGAACUCCAAAUUAUCAAGACUAUUUCCAUUGAGAACUAGAGGGUUAACACAACCAAAAAAACUAAGAGUUGUCUAAUAUGAACCUCCUAAAAAAGGUUUAAAGUUGGACAUUUACUAUUUUUAGCAAAAGAUUGAAUUUUAUAAUAAUAAUAGUAAAAGGAAAAAAAUGUGUAAUGUUUUAUCAAAACUUACAAAAAUCGAAUUUUUCUAGAAGUCGAAAUUUUUUGGUGGAAUCUAGAGAUCAAUUUUAGAUUAUGUCCAUCUAAAGUCGAUCAUUUCCGUUUAGAGAUCGACUUUAGAUAGACAUGAAAAACUCAUAUAUGUGAGGAUACAAUUAUGUCGCAAUUGGCUAAAAUUUCUAGAUCUCCUAGCUAAAUAUUUAAUGUCCAACAUCCACGGUUUUGUUUAUGUGGUUACAUUAAUUAGUUUGCGACGAAAUUGUGUUGCUUUAGCGACAAAUCACAUACCCUAUCUAAAUUUAGUUUUUUUUCUUCUUCUAAUGGAGUGGCCAAUAAUAAAUAGUUUCUUUUAAGGGAUAAUAAAUAGUUUCUUCAAAAAAAAAAUAGCCAAACACAAAAGCUAUCGGAAAAAAGCCCAAGGACCCAAAAAGAUCCCCGGUCACACACAAAACCAACAAAAAAUGAAGCCCAUCCCAACACGCCAACAUGAGAAAUAAAGACAAAAAACACCCACAUGACAGAAGAACCUCGAAAUCCUGGAACCACCCAAACCCUCAAAGACAUAUAAGAUCCAUAUGUGUCAAACAACAUUGAACCCUAAAGGUGUCAACGUACAAAGAAUUGGUUGUCUCCCACUCGUAAGGGGAGCCGCGCGAUGCCUAGAGAAUUUACCAAAGAAUCACUCCCAAGAAUGAAAAAUAAUCCAAUCAACAUGUUGCUGCUCAGUCUCGAAGUUACUUCUUGAGAAAGGUCAUUACGAACUUUUCAAAUAUACCACACAUUCGCAUGCCCUAGCUCUCCUCCUAUAUACACCUAAAAGAGAACACACCAACUAAAUGUUAAGAACUCGGACACUGCAUAUCAAAUGCUCAUACACGACUACCAUAUUUGAUGUACUGAUUGUGUACUCUUUUUUUUUAUCCAAAAGUACUAAAAGUAAAUGAAGAAAGAAUAUGAGGAAGUAUACAUAGUACAUUUUUAUUUGUCUAAAAAGUAGUGAAAAUUUAACAUGGUUGGUUAUUAUAAAGUAAAACUAGCAGCCCUAAACACCGUAGUAGCAAACUUAAGCCAAACCCAUGCUGGCCCAUCAACUUAUAUAAUAAUUACCCACGAACGUUAGUGGAAAAACUCGGUUGCAUAUUUUAUUGUCUCCCCUAUAAUUGUUAUAACCUACAAAUACUUAUACGUCACUUAAAUUUGAGCAAUCUCAUCCAUAAAUUCCCACCCCACAAGGCCACAACAACGAUUAAAGAAACAAAUUAAGAGAGAUUAUACAUACAUAUACACUCCUACUUAGGUCCAUUCCACCAAUUAAAGGAAUCACAAACAAGAAGAGAAAAAUAAAAUAGCUAGAGAGAAAUACAUAAAGAUGAGUGAAGAAUGUGGUGGAAACACUAUUGCUACCUCUACUACUCCAUUAAACUGGUGGUAUCUUCAAGCAAAUUCUCUUUCUUCUAAUUGGAAUGAUGUUAAACAUGCAUGGAACAACCAAAUGAAUAAUCCAAAUUCUUCCUCUUCUUGUGAGGAUCAAGAUAUAUCAGUUUCUUCUACAUCUUUCACCAAUGCAUCAAACCAUUCAAGCCUCACUGUUGAAUCCUCUCGAAGAGUAUUCGUCGAGCCGCAUGCACCACCUUCCUCCAACGACUUCAUGGCCGAACAUGCUUCGGAUAACCAACUAUGGAGUCAUGUUUUAUCGUAAGUUUCGUAAAUUGUUAAUUAUUACAAUUGUGCUAUAUGUUAUAAUGAAAACUAGUCUCAAUAUCACGAAAUAAUGUGCGUUAGAAUUUCAGUACAAAGGAAAAAAAAUUCAUAUGCUAUUGACUGAAAACAUGGAUCUGUCCAAUGAUAUUAUUUUGUGACACUUCUUAAUGGAACCCCUUCAUGACAGUAAACAAUUUCCUAAUUAUUAAUAAAUAUCUGAUGUUUUUACUGCUAUAUAUUAUUGAAACUGGCAAAAAAUUUUAUUGCUAUAUAAGAGACAAAUCUUUUACAGUUUUAGGUUAGAAAUUUUGUGAAGUUUAAGGGUGUUUUAAGUUAGGUAUAUAGGGUUAAAGUAUACGAUGGUUUUUUUCAGUGUGAGUAAAUAAUAUUCUUCUAGGCCUUUGCUUUCCACUAUCUAUAACAUGCUAACAGCUGUUAUGUGCACUAUAAUCAGUGUUUUCACACUAUGCAACAAUGAUCUCUUGUUUAUCCAUCCACAUACCAAUAAAAACCCUCUUGGAUUCUGUAAGAUAUAUAAUUAAAAAGUAAAUUUAUUAUAUAUUUUAGUAUAUAUACAGCUAAUUAGCUUUUUGUUUUGAUAAGAAAUGUUUGUAUAUUUUAAUUACAACUAAUUUACUUUCUUAUGUAAAAUAAUUUAUAGAGGUGUUGAUUCAAAUGGAGAGUUACACAACAACCAAGAAAUUGGAGAGAAUUUCUUGGAUGGACUAUCAUCAAAAACCAUGACAAACACUAUGUUUGAUGAACCAGCUUGUGACUAUUUGAAGAAACUUGAUACAACAAGUUGGGAAUAUAAUACUAGUGGUUCAACUUCAUUCAAUACUAAUUUUGAGAAGCACUUAAAUGGGUACAGUGAAGCUCUUAUUGAGAAUAAUGAAAGGUUGACAAAAUUAUCCAAUCUUGUAAGCACUUGGUCUAUUGCCCCACCUGACCCUGAAGUUAGUAGCCACUUUGAUUCACAAACAAAUAACAAUUUGUCUACUAAUUUGAAUAAUUCUAAUUCGUCCAAUAUGGAUCAUAAUCACUACACACAUGAUUCUGACCCUAAUUGUCAUUUCAAACUACCUUUUGGUGAUUCCACAUCAUGUACUAUUAGAGAAGGAGUAGGUAAUAAAAUGUUCCCUAGUUGCCUUGAUAUUCAAGACAUGAAUAAGGUUAAGGAAGAAUAUCAUCAUCAUGCAAGUGAAGUGAUGCAAGGACAUGUAUUUAGAAAAUCACUUAAUCCAAAUGGAUAUCUUGAUGGAUUUAACUCAGUGGGAGAUCACAAUGGCAAAUUUUAUGAAGGGUUGCCAAAUAUUUCACCAUGCACCAAAAAUUUCUCAGAUGUUAUAUCCUUUAAUAGUAGGCUUGGAAGGCCAGUUGUUGGAAUCCAUCCACAAAGGCCUAAUAUGAGAUACUCAAACUUAUCUGAGUCAAAGAAACAAGGGCUUCAAACACCAUCACAUGUGAGUUUUUUCUUCUUCUUUUAUAGACAAAUUUUAUUUGUUAAUUUGUUUUGUUAGCAGCAUACAAAUUUCACUUAAAAUAGUGAUGAUCCAUCUUUAUAUCCUAUAUUUUUGAGAGAUCCAUAUUUUUCUAAAACGGUAAAAUUUAUUAAUAAUUAAGUUUCUGCACUAGACGAACAGAGACCUGUAAAAUAUAUAUGAGACAAAUCCGAAAAAAUAUAUGAAGUAGCGACAAAAAAUUUAAAAAGAAAUUUUUAUAAUGUAUUUGUCUCUAUAAAUUAGACAUGGAAAUUUAAUUAUUUUUGUUUCUAAUUUCUUGGUUGAUUUAACUUUUUUUAGUAUGGCAACUAAUUUCUAUUCAAAAUUUAGAGAAAAAGUCAUGCUAGCUCUGACAUUAUUUUGUCAAAUAAAAUGUGUAUGCAAUUAAUUUAUGCAGAUGAGAACCACUAAUGGAAGAGGAGAGGGAACAACACGUGAAGUAAAGAAGAAAAGAUCUGAAGAAUCAUCAGAAGCAAGUUUGAAAAAGCCUAAGCAAGAUACUUCAACAACAAAUUCAUCUUCAAAGGUACAUAAAUAUAUUUAUUAUAUAUUAUGUAAUAUACGUACCAACAUGAACUAAUUAUGAGUGUAAAAAAGUCAUAUAAAGUGGGGGAAACCUUUUUAUUUUGUGUAUUAAUGUAAAUUAAGAAACUUCUAUUGAUUGUUUAAAAGGUGCAAGCACCUAAAGUCAAGCUAGGAGACAAGAUCACAGCCCUUCAACAAAUUGUGUCUCCAUUUGGAAAGGUUACUACAGAAUGCACUAAUCCCCACACCCUCUUCCCUUUUUCAUUCCUAUCUUUUUUGUAUAAAUAAUUCACAGUGCUUUUACUUUUCUCACUACCUACUUCAUAAUAAUCAAUUUAUUUUAUUUUUCUUUGUUGAAUUUCAGACUGAUACAGCAUCUGUGCUGUUUGAAGCAAUAGGGUACAUAAAGUAUCUUGAAGAACAAGUCCAGGUGUGUAUCAUUAUGGAAAAGUUCCCAUUCAUUAUGCAUUAUAUGUAACUAUAUAGUAUAUAAUAUACAUUAUUGUUGCUUUUCUCCUCCUUUUCAUUUUUAAUUAAUGCCAAGGAAACUUGACUUCUAGGAUUAUUAGUUCUUUAUCAAAAUGAAUAAACUAACAACAAUGCUGUGUUGAGCGAUUACACAUUUUCCAUGAAUAUCUCAUGAGCUUCAUCAACUAUAUAAUAUAAGGAGAUUUUAAAUAACACCUAACUAAAAUCUAAUUAUGAUUAGUAAAAAUAUGUGCCCCUGCCAGUAUGUUAAUCUUAGCUGCAACAAAUUACAAAAUUGUAUACUAUUAGUAGAUUAAAAACAAAACAAAAUGAAAAAUAAAAAUUUUAUAGGGACUAAACAUGUUUAACCAUGUACCAAAAAAAAAACAUAUUUAACCAUAUAUACUUUAAGUGAUUAAAGAUGCAGGUUUUUUUUAUCAUAACCCUUCCAUUCCUAGAAAAUGGCCUAUAUAAUACAUGUUCCGGCCGGAAAGUAAGUAAAGUCUGACAAAUAAUCAUUUUAAGUCAUAAUUUGAAACCAAGUUUCUUCUAAACUAUUGGUAUUAAAGGUGCAGCUUCAAACACAAACAGUUCAACUAUAAGUAAUAUAAUCAUCUUUUUCUUCAUUAUAUACAAUUAACAGUUUAAUUUAUCUUUAAUUAAUUCUUUUUACGUUCAUAAUUAUUAUGCAGUUACUGAGCAACCCUUACUUGAAGGCAAAUUCACACAAGGUAAUUAAGAAAUUAAUCUAUAUAUAGAUAUCUCUAUUAAGUACUUUUCAAAAUUAAAUUAUUCUCUCAAAAUUUCACUCUUAAUUAGAGAUGAUUAACAUAAUAAUUAAUCCAGGAUCCAAGGGGAAGCUACUUCGAUAGAAAAGAUAAGGAGGAUGCAAAGCUAGACCUUCGAAGUAAAGGUCUUUGUUUAGUUCCUACUUCAUGUACCCCUAUAGUUUAUAGAGAGAACAAUGGGCCAGAUUACUGGACACCAGCGUAUAGAGGAUGUAUGUAUAGGUGAUUAAUAACACAUGCAUAUGACUUAUGCCAAAAAUAGUAUGUGGUUGUAUGUACUAUAAUCUUGGAAAUUAUAAGAUCUCGUCAAUAAAUCAUAUAUUAUCCUGAAUGUAACUAUUUAUUUAUUGUCUUGAUGUAAUGCCUGGUUACACGAGUAUACACAUUUUAGUUGACCUUCAAACAAGGGCUAGUACUUAGCAUUAUUGAUUUUUCUUUUUUUAAAGUUCUCUUACUAGAAAGAAUGUGUUUUUCAUACUAAAAAAUUACUUGAGUAAAAAAAACGAUAUUAAUAAAAAGACUCUUAAAGUAAAAAUGUUUCUCUCAGUGAUAUAGACAAAAGAUGCACAUUUUACCAAUUUAGCUCUCCAAUUACAAACAAAUUAUUAACAGUCACAAUUGUUGGAUGAUGUAAAAAUUUGACAUUAACUAAUGUUUUUUUUACGGAUUAAUAAUUUUUUUCUACGAAUAUAUAUUCAAUUUUCAUUUUCUAUAGUUUUAUUCAAAUUGCUAACGAAGGAAAUGAAACACUCAUGUAAUGUAUAUGUGUGAUAGGGAGAAGGUGAUAAGCAAACUAGCUAGGAUGAAUGUAUUUUCAAAAUCAAUGAAAAUAAUGUUUAGGCACUUUCAAAGUUUAUCAAAAAGUUUUAUAUGUUUUAAAAAAAAUGUAAAAGAAGAUUGUGAUGAAAAUAUUCUUUUAUGUUCAUUUGUUGAAGUGAAAAUAAAAAAAAAUAAAAUAAUAUUUAUUAGGUAUAAUUCAGAGUAUAAUUAAUCUCACAUUGAGUCUCUCAUUAGUUGGUUAGUCAAAAGAAUAUGAAAUUCAUUUUAUUUUCUAAUCGAAAAUUAAUUAUAGCGAAGCAAUUAGAUAAUUCACACCUAUAAUACAAUCUUUAAUUUUCUAAUAGGUGUAAAUUCUCUUAUAGGUGUGAAUUAUAGCAAUUAGGUAAUUUUCUAAUACAUACCUAUAAAAUUAUCUAAUCUAAUUGUUAUAAGAAACUUCUAAGGUACACUCAGAAAGUGAGGUGUACCGGUACUCAUGCUUCAUAAUUUUAUAAAUUAACGAUCAUUUUUUAUGAAAUAAAUAGUUAUUUGUUAAUAUUAAUAUUUUAUAGAACAUCAUUUCAUAAGAAAAAACAUCAUUUCAUUGUUUAUAAGAAUUAUAAUAAUUUUUUUUACAUAUUAUCAUAAAAAAUAAUCAAUGUUCUCAAUUAUGAGUGAAAAAAAUUCAAAAAAAAUUAAUUUUAUUUCGUUGACACUUUUGAUAAAUAAGAUUUAAUUAUUAUAAUUAUAGAUGAUAAAAAAUAAUAUUUUUCUUUAAAAAAACAACUCAUUUAACUAUUAAUUUAAAAAAUGAGUAUACCAAUACACUCAAAUAUAUUGGAUGUACCAUAAAAUUUGCAUUGUUAUAAUUAUCUUAUACCGAAGUAAUUAGAUAAUUCACAGGUGUGAAUUUUUUGAUGAUUGUAUUAUAAGUGUGAAUUAUCCAAUUGCUUCGCUAUAAUUAAUCUCCACCUAAAAUUUCACUAAUCAACUUUAGUUGAGUCUCUCUUCUCAAUUACUACCUUCGUCCUAAUUAUAAGACUCUUUUGAAAAAAUAAUGGGAAUUAAGAUAGUGGAUAUUUGUAUUAAAUAUGUUUGUAAUUACUAUUGUUUUUACAAUUUUAUCCUUUAAGAAAUAGGGUUGGCUUAUGUUUUCAACAUUUUAUUUAUUGCUGAUUGAAGAAAAAGAUGUAUAAUAAAUAGGGGCAUGUAUGUAAAGAAAUAAUUAAUGUAGUUGGAAAUAGAAAAGGGGUCUUAUAAAAAGGGACAAAAUUUUUUUCUCAAAAGGGUCUUAUAAUUAGGGACGGAGGUAGUAUGUUUUUUUUUCUUCAUCCAAAAAAACCCUUUUUAAAGUGAAAUAUCAUAGAGUUAUUUAUUUUUUCGCAAAGGACUCACCAAAUAAUGUAUACAUCACCUCAAACCCUAGUCGUCACCCUUUUCUUCUUCUUUUCAGAGGGGUGAUUUAGGGUUAUUUUUGACACAAAAUCACCCCUCCGAAUUGUUUUUUCUUCUAUCAUAAUUAAAUAACUGAUUUCACAUAUUUUCAGUUUUCUUUCGUUUGAUUUGUGAUUACGUCGUCUCUGAACGACUCUGUUUGUUUUGAUUUCCCGUCUUUAUCCGGUGUGUUUUUGAUUUCCCAUCUUAGUGCGGUGUUUAUUUGAUUCAGGUUGAAAGAUUAGCUUUAAGCAAGUGCAGAUCCGAUCAAUGACAAUGACUUUGGCGUCGUCAACGUUGCAGAUUCGGAGACAUGAGUAUUCCGGAGACAUGAAUAUAGUCAUAUUAAUUAUAUUUGUAGGCAUAGGUACUUUGCCGUUUUAUGCUAUUAACAUGGAUGCUGUGAGUUUGUUCACAGAUUCAUCCUUUUUAUUUUUAGCAAAUUUGAAUUUGUAUUGUAUCGAUGUACUCUAUCAAUUUGAAAGAAUGCAUAUUGUUUAUUUUUGUCAAAAAAAUAAUAAUAAUGUAUACAUCACCUUAUACCGUAAGAAGCAUAAAAGACACUCAUUAACAAAAUAUUUGAAUAAGAAAGCAUAGCCUGAACUAUAUAAGCUUUGGAAAGUUAAUGAAAACAAAAUAUAGUUCUCCAAAUCUAAAAACCAAGCUGAUUAAAAUUGUUGAAAUUGAACAUUUGAGUUGACUCUAGUGUUUGUCACGAUCAAUUUGCAAGAGAAGGACCAAAUUUGACAUGUAAAUCAAAAUAUUUGAUAAAAGAAUUAGUGUGCAUGUUCAUCACCUGAUGUACAGAGAAAAAUACUAAAUAAAUUAUAUAUUCAUGGAUGGUCAACUGAGAGUUAGCUAAGUGUGCAUCACAUUAAAAACUUUUGUAAUAUAUUGUAACUUUUUAGGUUAUUGUCACUAAUUCUCAGUACUUUAGAAUAUGUGAAAUUGUAGAUAGAUUCUUCAUAUAUAUAGAAUCUUCAUACAUAAAAGGUUCACACUCCAUUUUAUACUCCUUAAAUAUGGUAUCGUUUUUAAUUUUUUUUGUAUAAUCAGUAGAAUCAUAUUAUUAAUUGACUGUAGAAAAACAAAACCAUAUAUGGUGGAACAGCAUGGAUGGUUUUGAACAUGUCCACUCACUAACAUUGAACGAUUUAGGAUGAUUUAAACAAGUAAAAGAUGGGAUUGAUUCUAGAAGUAGAGAGAAUGACGUAUUGUUAAGUGCCAAUGAGAAAUUGGUCAAAGGGGAGAUGAGCAAAAAAGCCAAUUGCAAGGUUGGUGGUGCACUCAAACAUAGAUCAGUCAUGCUUCUUAUAAUGACAACCAAGACAAACACACCACCCUCACAAAUCCUCACAAUUUUUUUGGAACAAAAGUAGUUUUUUUUUUUCAUAAUCCAAAUAUAUGGAAUUGAUAUAAUGAUAUAAUUCAUUUCAGUAAUUUUGAAAUUGAUAGUAAUUUCAAAUUUUUAGAAACAUCACUCCCUUCUUUUUCUCUUCUCCUCUUUUCAUCUUCUUCGUUCGUCGAUAAGGAGUGGUUUAGAAUUAAUUUUUUUUGGCAUAAAUCACUCAUCUAAUUAAUUUUUCUAUCUUUUUAUAUAAGUGAUUUUUCGUAUAUUUUUUUUUUUUGUGAUUUUGUCAAUUUAGUACGGCCUAUUAUUUUGUUUGCCAUCUUUGCUGCUAUGUUAGUUUGUUUUUUCGUUUUGUUCUGGUGUUUAUUCUAUUUAAUUGAUAUAUUAGAUUUGAUCUGAAAGCAUUGAUAUCUCAAACACUUUAAUUUUAUUGCAUUGAUAGGCUUUAUCAUAUUUGUAUUUAUAUUUUUCUCAUUUUCCUUAUGUUCUGAGAUAGAAUAUCAAUCAUGGCAAUUUGAAUUUUGAAAUGAUAGGAAUUGAUAUUCACUUUGGCAAUUUUGAAAACUACGGAAUUGAAUUUUGAAAUAAUUUAGAUCUAAAAGAGUUGAUAUUUUUUAACCUUUUUUUUUUUUUUUGUUUUUUUACCUAAAAAAAUAUUUUUUUUCUACAUCUUGUUCGUAUAAGGAUAUUAAUUUAUUUUAUAGACUAAUAAAAAGAUUAACAUCCUUCUUCUUCUUCAGCCUACAAACUAGUUCAUCACCACCACCGACAACCUCCAUAACACUGUUAAACGUUUAAAUCCAACAUCAACAAUAGCAAACAACACCAAGAACCAUUUCCUUCCAAUAAACAAACACAAACUAAAAAUUCUUAUUCAUCGUCAACUCAAACUCAUACCACAAUCUCCGUCAUCAUCAUCGCAAUACCAGAAAACAUUUUCCCUUCAAACUAACAAACCCAAACGAAGAAACUUGCAAACUCGCUUUUGUUGCCUAUAAUUGGAUUUGCACCAUAAGAAUUUUGUUUGUGAAUUUAGAUGGUUUUAUGCUUUUAUGUGGUCGAACGUGGCAUUUGAAGCACUUUCCAUUAACAAUGUUGAUAAACUUUUUUGAACAAACAAUGUUGAUAAACUUAAAGUUGGAUGCAAUAAGCUAUUAAGGUUCAUAGUGCAAAUCGUUUUCUUUUGUUGCUAAGUUUUUUUUUGUUUUUAAAUCUUUCUUUUAUUGGAUUUGGUCCCUUGCCAAUUUCAUUUUUUUUGGUUUUCGUCCCUCUCACUUAUUGACUAAUCAACUCAUUUGCCACGUGUCAUUUGCUUGCCACAUCAUCCAUUGUCACGCCAUCAUCUGAUUGCUCUCAUACAUGUUUUUGUAACAAAUGAUGACAGCAUGAAUGAAAAUCAAAACGUUUGCAUCUUACAUAAUUUGUAUAAAAAAAUGUUUUGAGCCUGAAUUAGAAGAAGCCCGAUCUCUUUUUUUACCAUAUCAUUAAAAAUUUAUAAAGACAAUAUUUUAAACUUUUCUAAUUACCUUUUACGCCAUCAAUCACUUUUAUAUUACCAUUUUUGUAUGUGUAUAGAAUUUUUUUAUACAAUUUCGUCAAAUUUAAUGGAAAAUAUAACAUAUAGCACAACUCUUUUAACAAAGGUUAUAAGUUCAAUCCAGCUAUGAAAUGUAGCAAUGUUAAAUAUUUUGAAGAGAAGCAUUGCGAUUCAUUGCUUUUCAUCAUCUCCCAUUUUGAUGAAUGAAUUGGUAGCAAUUCUCUUUUUAAUUCGUUCAUUCAUGGGUGGAGCUGGGCUUUGUUUCUUCCAUGCCUCCUAAUUGGCCUUUUAUGUAACUUUGCUUUUCGGAAAUUGUUUUUCUCCAUUUUGUUUUUGCUUAUUUUAUUUAUAUGUCUACGUGAGGGACGUUAUACCCCCACACCUCUACACUUAUAUCUUACCCAACAAUUUUUAAAAAUUCCAAUUUUACCCCUUUUACUAUAUAAUCUUUUACACAUAAAUUUUUCACCCUCAUUUUCAACAUCUCUUAAUUAAGGAUGAGUUCACCGCCACAUGAUAUUUUUCUUGAUACUUAUUUCCUUUUUUGUUUUUCACUAUCAAACGUUUCCGAAAAUAUUUCGGAAUAUUCAUAUAUACGUUUACAAAAAUAAUAUGAGAACUAGUCUCUCUUCAAAUGAAUGAUGCAACACAACUUAUCUUUCUCCUUUGAUGGAAAAAAUUGUUCUAAUACCAAUUAUUGAAAGAAAAAAUCAAUAAAAAAUCUUUAAACAAGCGGCAACACAACCACAAAAUAUGUAAAAGAGACAAAAACAAAUCACAAGACUGUUUAUCGACACUUCACACCUUCAUUCAUAAUAUCUUAACAAAAUAUUUGUUACAAAAAUAUGCAUACUUUUACUAGGAAUUGCAAACCCUCUUAUACAAUUAUAAUUUUUGCAUAGAUAUAUGCAAACUAAUCUUUCUCAAUUACAAUUUUUGUAAGAAAAACUACAAACUCUUUUAUGACACACAACUACCCAACCUCUUUUUUUUUUUUUCAUUACUCGAUGUGCGAUGUGAAAGAAUAUCAAUUUUAGAGAACAAAUGACUAUAAUUUAUAGGUGGCCUUUAUGAUUUUUCGCACAAAUUUUCAUACUGUGAAAUGUGAAUAGAUGCAUGUGCAGAGAUGGAGUUCAUAAUUUAAAUCUUACGUUAAAAAUAAAACAAGUUUUUAAUGUUAUAGUUUAAAAAUAAAAAAUUGUUUCUUAUAUACAAUAUUUUUAUGAAUAUUUACAUAGUUUUUAAAAAAAAUUAAUAAUGAAUGGUAUAUUCGUGUCCUGUAUGACACAAUGAAACAUAUGCACAUGAAUAAAUUAUACAUUAAGCCUAAUCAUAUGAUCUGAAAAGAUUUUCUCUACAUCUCGUCGAGCUAGCAAGGUAGAUAGAUGUCAACUAAUAUAUAUACAUUAAUUUUUAAUUUGAAUUUUUUUUAACAGCGUUGGAUUGACUUAUAUGUGAUAUUUUAUUUCAUAUUAGGGUAGAGUCUGCUCAUUGGAAACUGAAGCAAAUGUUGGAAAACAGCAAAGAUGACUUGUGCAAAUGUUGGAAGGGUAUGCACAACAUGAAGUUGCAAUUAGGAAAAAUCAUAGCUUCAUUUCAAAAAAGUUUUUAUGAAGUUGAACACGCACACACAAGUCUAUUUUAUGAAAAAUUGCGUGGAUUUGUUUCUAGAGCUGCUUUAACAUGCAUUGUUGUUGAGUUUGAAAGAGUUAGAUAUAUGGAAAUCGACGAAUCGACAUGUGGUUGCAAACUCAGAACAACAUAUGGAUUGCCUUGUGCUUGUGAGUUAGGAAGAUAUAAAAUUAGUGGUAUACCUAUACCAUUAGAUUCAAUUCAUAUUCAAUGGAAGAAAUUAAGCAUGGAAAAGUCAACAAGAGGAAGACACGGAAACUGGAUAAAACGAUUGAAACUAAUAAAACCUUAUUAUAUGACUAAUAGAAUAAAAACACCCCCUUUGAAUUACAAAGUGUGGCUAGAAGGGAACAAAUACAUUAUACAGUAUAAGCAAAGAGUGUGUUAAUUACUUACAUGACCAUACCACAGGGAGCUUUUCUAUACUUGACAUUAAAUUUAAGACAGUACACGUUUACUUAAGCUUAAUUUUACUAUAUUUAGUUAGCAAAAACAGCUUUUCAACUACAGUAGUUGUUUGAAUCCUUUAAAAAAAUACAAGUAAUUGUUUUAACUUUUAAUCACACAAAUAAACUACUCCAAAAUCCAAAUACAUAAACAAGCUUGGCUAAUGUGCUCUUGAUCUUUACAGACAAAGCAACAAUCACCCUUUAAAGUCUAAACAAUCCCAUUACUUAGAGAUACACAUAAGAAAGCACAAAGAAGCCAAAUCCGAUAUAAAAAAUAAAUGUGAUACAUACACAAGUCACAUAUAAAUAAUACUUCAUCAUCAGGGAACAAUAUAUCAGUCUUUUCCAUGUACAACGAUUCAUUAAGCAAUUAAAAUAGCAAUUGCUAAUAAGAGGCGCGGACAUGACCUCAAAAUAACAGAAUUAUCACAACAGACAACAAGUAAGGAUGGAAUAACACAAUUAAGUAAGUAAUGGACAUAGUAUGAAUAACUAAAUGAAUUCUACGAAAACAAUGUAACUAUAUUUCAUUUCCAUUAAUUGCAUAUAUAGAGGUAACCUUGAUCAGUAGUAUAUCUAUGCCCAUUAAUUAGUAUAUCUAUAAAAAAAAAUAGUAGAUCAUGACAAAAGCUACUUCAGAGAGUUAAACAAAAAAUUAAAAAAGUAAUUUUUUUUUGCGCCUGAACUGGAAUUCUUGGCCAAACGAUUCCGGGAAUAAUUAACCGAAAUACUUUGAACGCGUUUUCCGGAAACUACCGGAACACUUCACACAUGGUUUCCGGAAAUCAACCGGAACACUUUGGUUAACACGAUUCCUCGGACGAUUCCAUGAAAGGACGACGGCAAUAUUUCCAGAAAACGGUUUCGUGGAAGGAUUUAUAACACUAACCCAGAAAAUUUUGAAAAACCUAACCGUGAACGAUUCGUGAAUGAUUCCAGAAAAUAAUUCAGAACAAACACAUGGAAUUAGUGGAUGAGACAGAACACAGAAUCAGAAUAAAUGAUGCUUACUUGUUUGUUGGAAGAAGAAUCAGAAGAGGGUUUUCCAGAAAAGGGGAUUGAACGUUGAAGGAGAAGGGUUUAGAGUGUGUGGGGGUGAAAAGUGAAGGGUAAUUUUGGUAGUUUGUGUUAAAUGUUGGGGUAUAGGUAUAAAUGUAGGGGUGUAGGGUAUAACGUCCCUACGUUAACUCAUGUUGAAAAAAUCGAACGUGAGUUAACUCACGUUGGGCAUAAUUAAGGGAAUGAGCAAUUUAUUGCUUUUUUCAAAUAAAAAGUUGCUUAAAAACACAUGAAAAUGACACAAACCGCUGUAGUUAUCUAAGCUUAGGGUUUUUGGUCAUUUUCAUGUGUUUUUAAGCAACUUCUUAUGUGAUUUUUUUUUUUUUUUUAAUGUUUGUAACAGCUAAGUUUAUCAACUAUUAGUCAGCUUAUAGUUUCUUAUAAUAAUAUGAGAUUUCUUUUUGGGCGAGCGUGUUUAGUUUUUUUUUAAUAAAAAUAGAUAAAUAAAAUAACUUUAAUCAUUUAAUAGUGUUUGUUUAGGUUUUUAUUUUAAAUAUUAUUGUUUUACUCUAAAAUGAAAAGCUAUUAGAAUUAACUAUCUUUAAAAAUUUUUUUUUUUUUUCAAAAAUAUAGAGGUAACACAUGAACAAGUUUUUCUAAAAAAAAAAACAAUUAUUUUUAUAGAAGUAAACAAACAGAAAUAAUUUCAGAUUUUUUAAAGAAACCUCUAAAAAGAUCUCUAGAUUUUUAUAAUACAAAAUCUUUUUUCUUUUUAAGUUGAAACAAAACACCCUUAAUCUCUUUUAUUUGAUUUACCCUAGUUACAUCGCAUAAACCUUGAAUUUCACCAUUUCUAGAAAGAAAAAAAAAGGGUUAAAUAUGUUUUUGGUCUCUAUAAAUAUACCAACUUUUCGUUUUAGUCCCUCUAAAAUUUUCCUUCAACUUUUAGUCCCUAAAAAAUUUUCAAUUACUACUUUUGGUCCCUAUUUUUAAUUUAAUUUUUGUAUUUUUUAAUAAAAUUGUACAGAAAUGUGUAAAAUAUUCUAAAAAAAAUAAAGAAAUUAGAAUUUUUUAACAAAACACAAAUUAAAUAUGAAUUUUUAACUGUAAAAAAUAUAAAAAUUCAUAUUAAAUUCAUGAUUUGUUAAAAAAUUCUAAAUUUUUUUUGAAGUGAUUCUUAUAAUAUUUUGAAUUUUUAUGGAAAAUUUUAUUAAAAAAUAUGAAUUCUAGAUAUGAGUUUACUUUAAAAAGAGACCAAAAGUGAAAAUUGAAAAUUUUAUAGGAACUAAAAGUUGAAGGAAAAUUUUAGAGGGACUAAAUGAAAAGUUGACAUAUUUAUAGGGACUAAAAAUAUAUUUAACCCAAAAAAAAAAUACCCUUAAUUUGUUUUCAAAUUUUAACGUGACCACUGCAGCAACUAUAGACAAGGGAAAAUAUGGCGAUACACGCAGACUCCAUCGGUAAGAAACCUAGGUGUUUCUAGAAAGUUUAGUGGAAUAAUGAUAGUCAUAGUUGAGUCUCAUUGUUUACAAAUGCCAUUUGUAAAUUUUAUUUUGAAGGUGAGAAAAACACAAGAAGGGGGUUGAAGUGUGUUAACUUUUUCUUUUCUUUCUCUAUCUGAAACAAGCAGGUCAGAAGCAGGUAGAAUUCUACUUCUGAAGAGAUGUUCAGAACUAAAUGCAGCGGAUACGAAUAGAGAGAAAGAGAGAAAAAAGACACAGACAAUUUAUACAGGUUCCUUCCACAAACUGGAAGUCAGUCAUGUCCCCCUUGCACUUCCAAGGGGAGUUCACUAUGUAAUAUCUGAUUACAAAUGCUCACUACUAAACUUAGUAUGAGACUUCAAAUUGCUCAAGCACAACUGCAAGAGACUUCCUAUGCUCCUGAACACAAUCAAGAGACUUCUAUUGCUCAAGCACAACUGCAAGAGACUUCUAAAUUCAAACAGAAUUACAAUGAAAAAUGUUUGAGGUUGAACACUUGAUAUACAAUCAAUGGUGUUCACAAUACAAAUCACAGACUCUAGAAUUCCUAAGAUAUAAGCUUUGUUAUGAAAUUCUAAGUGAACUUUGAAGUGAAGAGCAAUUUCAACAGAGUUUUAGCUUAACUGAUGCGUAGUAUUGUUCUUUAGUAACUCUGAGUCUUCACUCCUUUAUAUAGAGUUGUGAAAGAGACGUUGAAAUGUCUUCUUAUUCAAAAUAGAGUCGUUUGAAGCUCUUGAUCUAUCACCAAUGAUCUUUUGCCUGAUAUGGUUAUUGUCCUAUGAAGGAUCAAUUUCAAAUGUGUUCCCAAUGUGAAUAAACAUUGUUGCAGGCAGAGCUGUUAUCCUUGUCUUGUAGCAGAGACAAACUCAUAAUAGUGGAGGUAGUGGUUGUACACUUCGUACAAACGUACUAUGUCAACGCUCUUUGAAGAAAAAGCAUCCAAUGCAUUUCAAAAUAGUCGUGCCACAAUUUUCCAGUCUUCUGCAAUCUUUAGGCGAGUUAGAGUCCUUGAAACAGCUUUUGAAAAUUUAAGUUCAAUCUUCUGAUGAACUGCAGCUUCUGGUGAUACACAGCUUCUGAUGAACUUGCUUCUGAUGACGUCAUCACUUCAGAAGCACUUUGUCUUUAGGCGCACUUCAAACUUCAGGAGCAGUUUUCUUCAGACGCUCGAAGCUUCUCUUUUUGUUGAUAUACUUGCUCUUUAUUUGUUCUUUGAAGACCAAUUUAAUAUGACAAUUUUUUUUCUAUAGUCCUGUACACUUGAACAAAUAUUAGCGUAUCCAAUUGACAAUUUUUAAUACUUUAUUAUCAUCAAAACUCUCAAGGGUUAUUAUUGCUAAACAAAUUUUAUUCCAACACAUUUUACAUACAUAAUCAAUCAAACAAUAUGUUACUCGCAUUUCUUUUUACUUUAUAUUUAGUUAUGUUUUUAUUAGCUUAGUUCUCAAAAAUCACAACGGAAGAACGUAGUUUCUUUCUACUUUAUACUUACACUCUUUAAAGAAUGGAAGAACAUCGUUUCUUUCUUGGCAUAAUCGUUUGGAGGAAAAGAGAAUCAUUGUUGAGAUCUAUUAGCCAGUUCAUCAGCUAAUUUGGCAACAAUUUGUAAUAAUAAAAUUGUUGUAUUAAUAAAAACAAAGCAAGGUGAGGACUAAAAAUUACCAAAUAACUGUGUGAAUAUUGGUAAUAAGAUAGGAAAUAAGAGAAGGAGUGAUAAAGAAAGGGGUAAGGGCUACAAGGGUCAGUGGCCCCAAACCAUCAUCUACGAAGGACACAGUAGCCUGUGCAAUAGCAGCAUGUACAAUAGUGACAUAUUUUACCCUCCAAUUCAUCACUCUUUGCUAGCAAGAAAACUUUUAAAUUUUACCACACAUAAUUAAUUUUCCAAUACAAAUUAAAUGAAAGAAAACACACAUAGAAAGAGAUAUUGUUAUAUAUGCAUACGGGUGGACAAGCAUGCAUGUAAAGUAGCAAAAUAAAUUAUUUAAAUAUUCAUAUGACACAAAAUGAUUGAGGAAUAUAACAAGAGAGGGUAGCUAAAUUUUACACACAAGAAAACAAUAGCCAGAAGAUAAAUAGCUAGGUAUAUUGUUUUCUUCUCCUCGUCUCUUCAUUACUCUUGUCUCCUUAGAUCCUUUCCUCUUGCAACCUUUUUGCUCUCAAUCUGUGAGUUUUUUUUUCUACUUUUUCUUCUGACAUGAAAAAAACAACCACAAAAAAAUCAAAUAUAUAUAUAUUUCAGCUCUUUCUAGCUUCUUUAAAUUAUUUUGUUAUAUAGUUUCUUUAAUUUAACUGAUCUCUUUUUUGUUAUCCUUGUUCCAUGAGAGAAGGAAACAUGUUAAUGAAAUUUUUCUUUUAGAAGAAGAAUUAAACAUUUGAUUAUUAAGUUUUUGUUUAAAAAUUUCAGAUUGCAAAAUAUAUAAUUAUGGCGGCUGCUUCUUCAUCUACAUCAUUCUUUGGAAUCAGAGAAGAAAAUCAAAGUCAAAUAACACAUCAUCAUCCUCAUCCUCAAUCAACUACUACUUCUGCUACUUCCUCAGCUCCUUCAACCACAGUUCCUCAAAAGAAAAGAAGGAAUCAACCUGGAACACCAAGCAAGUAGCUUAAUUAUUUUUAUUUUCAUUAUUACUUAAAGCUUCAACAUGCACACACCCUUCUCGAAUUUUUUUUUUUUUUUUUUUUUGUAUUAUUUUCUCAAAAAACAAGCAUAAUGAAACCCUAAAUCAUGAACAUGAGUUAGGGCUCUGAAUUUCUUUUACAAAAAAGCUAUAUAAGAACUAUGUUUAGGGUGCAUGCAGUCUCCUCCAAUUUUAUUCUCAAAAGCAUAUGAGACUUCGGUUUUAAUUUUUGUAAUAAUUUUUCUAACUUCUACUGUUUUUUACUACUAUUACCAUGAGUUUGUGGCUUUUAAAUGGAAAAAAUAACAAUAAAACAUAGUUCUUCAUUUCAUGGUGCAUAUAUAUUCAAUUAUGAAUACUUCUUUUGAUGUUAAAAAAACUAGAAUUUUAUAAUAUUUUUCUUAUACAAAAAAAUAUAUAAUAUUUUGUUGUUUUGGCAUUUUUCAUGGUAAAAAGAUCCAGAUGCAGAAGUGAUAGCACUAUCUCCCAAGACUCUAAUGGCAACAAAUAGAUUUAUAUGUGAGGUUUGCAAUAAAGGGUUUCAAAGGGAGCAAAAUCUUCAACUUCAUAGAAGAGGACACAAUCUUCCUUGGAAGCUAAAGCAAAAGUCCAACAAAGAGCCAAGGAGAAAGGUUUAUUUGUGUCCUGAGCCCACAUGCGUCCAUCACGACCCUUCAAGAGCUUUAGGAGAUCUAACUGGAAUUAAAAAGCAUUUCUCUCGUAAGCACGGUGAGAAGAAGUGGAAAUGUGAAAAAUGCUCAAAGAAAUAUGCUGUUCAAUCUGACUGGAAAGCACAUUCUAAGACUUGUGGUACUAGAGAAUAUAGAUGUGAUUGUGGCACCCUCUUCUCUAGGUAACAAACAUCAUCUUUAUAUUUAUAUCUUCACAUCGAUGUUAGUCUAAUUAUAUUUCAUAAAUAUGAAUUCAUCACUCUAUAUACAUAAUAUAUGCUACACUUUUGCCAAAUGUUAGGGUUAUACUUAUAUGGUUUGGUAUUGAAUAUUAUUUUAUUUUAUAGAAGUUAGUGUUUGAUUAUUUUUUUACUACCAAUUUUAUUAUAAGAAUUCGAUUAUUUUAAUCAUGUUUUUUUUCAUCAUUCAAUUGCAAGGAAAAUGGUCAUAAGUCAUAACAAUCUGAAGUUUUGCAAGAAAGCAAGUAAAAUCCAACCAAACCGUAGAUCAAACUCAUAGACUCCUUAUAUAUCGUUCUCUUUCUUUCCUCUUCGUAUUGAGCUCUAAUUUAUCUAAAUUGAAGUACUCUUUAAACUUCUUUACUAAGGAACCUUUUACAUAUAAAAAGGUGUGUGUAUAUAUAUAAAUAUAAUAAGUUGAAUUUUUUUACAAUAAGUAAAAACACACAAAGGUUAAAUUUGAACAACAGUCUCUUUUAUGUUCUUAUCCCAAAAAAAAGUGAACAAGAGCUUUCACCCUUUCUCUGUUAGUUUGUGUUUGGGUGUUAGUGAAGGUGUAUAUUGUAUGGCGCAGGAGACUGCAUGCACGUGAGUACACUGUUCAAAUGUAGUACAAAAAUUGAAAUGUUUGAAGGAAAAAAAAUCAACUUUGGUUUUAGGGAACCGUGCCCAUAAUCUUUUAACGUUCACGUGUAGUGAAACAACAUAAUAACUUUGUUCUCAUAUGAAAUGGAUUGGAGGAGAUGCUGGGUUUUGUUCUCUUUCUUGUUAGCUAUUUCUAGUUUUCAAAAUUCAAAUACAUUUCCAUGUUCUUUUUAGCAAUGGGUCCAAGGUGACUAAUUUCCAUGUUACUAACAGAAAAUUCUCUUCAUUAAUUGGUCAUGUUUCUCAUAUAGAUUUGCUAGAAAUUAUGUGAUAUAACGAAUUAUCUUGGUAGAAUAUAGACAAGUAUUGAGGUUGCUUGCAUUUAUUAAGUAGGCCCCAUAUUGAAAUUUUUGAGUAUUGACUUUCAUCAUAGUUGCAAACAAUUCUCUCUUUUAUUGAUCAAAGAAAGACCUCAAAUUAGAAGUUUGAUUUAGAAAUUCUUGGUUUGUUUCAAAUUUUGGCAUAAUCCCAUGGGCCCUCUACUUCAAUUGUAGUUUUCUUAAUUUCAACAUACUAUACUAGUUUCAAUUAAUUCCAAUUAAAACAAUUAGGUUACUCAUAUUCAUUACACAAAUAUAUGGGAUUAUAAUAUGAACUUCCAAAGGCGAACAUAACUAUUUUUGGUAAAUUUUAAUACAAUAUUAGAUAUGUUCUCCUUUUUACUAUAUAUGGUAGGGGUCUACAUUAUACCCACCCAAAAAAAUUGACAAUGAUAUAUAUAUGUUGCUUAAUUCUUUGUAAUUAAUUUUGGUGCAGGCGUGACAGUUUCAUCACUCAUAGGGCAUUUUGUGAUGCACUAGCACAAGAGAGUGUAUUAAGACACCAUAACCCUUUUGGGAGUACUCAUCAAUUGUAUGCCACAAACCAUCACAUUAGUUUAGGCCAAAUAUCCCAUCAAUUGCAAAAUCAUCAGAACCAAAUUACAUCAUCCACUAGCAACAAUAACAACCUUUUGCGCCUUGGAUCAGCACCACCAAAAUUUGAACAAAACUUAAUCUCAUCACCACCUUUAAAUCACUCUUCAUCAUUUGGACACUCAAUCCCAUCUUCAUCACCAUUCUUCAAUAUGAGUGAUAUUUCAAAUCAAUCCUUUGAAGAACAACAAUCUCAACAAGGACAAUUCUUAAACAAACAACUACAUGGUCUAAUGCAUCUUCCUGAUCUUCAAGGCAAUACAAAUACAAACAAUUCAAAUUCUUCCAAUCUUUUCAACCUUAUGGUUCAUGAUCAAUUCAACAACAUGAGUAGUACCCAAGGAACAACACUUUACAUUAACAACAAUAGCUCUUUAAGUGAUCAUCAAGUUGGUUUUGUCAAUUCAAUGCAACAUGGUCAAAACAUGUCUAGUCCUCACAUGUCUGCCACUGCAUUGCUUCAAAAAGCUUCUCAGAUUGGUUCAACUAAUUCUACCAACAAUAACAAAGGUAGUAAUAAUGAUCAUAAAUCAGGUGAUAGGGACUUUGUUGUGUCUGAUCACAACAACAUCAAUGCCACUUUUGGAAAUAGAAGUUCAAGUAUUGAAAAUGAUCAUGACAACAACGAUCUUCAUGGAUUGAUAAACUCUAUUGCAAAUGGAAACACAUCAUCCAUAUUUGGCAAUGAAAGCAAUCUUAAUAUGAGAUUUGGUGGAUCUGAUAAGUUAACUUUAGAUUUUCUUGGUGUUGGAGGAAUGGUCAGAAAUAUGAGUGGUGGAUUUUCACAAAGUGAACAACAACGUGACAUGAUGAAUACUAGUAUGGUUUCUUUGAAUCAUGACCUAAAAUCAGCACAUUCAAGUCAACAUUUUGGAAGCUCAAAUAUCUUGCAAUGAAGAUUGGGGUGAGAAAUUUAUUAAUUUAAGGAAAUAUUGCUUGUUAGUUACAUGUGAAUUAUUCAUUAAUUAAGUAGUAAACUUUGUUUCAAACAUUUAUUUAUUUUAUUUUUGUUUUCCUCAAAAGAAGUGCAGUUCAUUGGUAAAAUGAGGUUCCAAUUCUAGAAAUUACUACAAAUUACAAUCCCUUAUUUUAUUUUAACACGUCCCUUUCCUUAUUCUUUGCUCUCUAUGAUGUGAUAGAGAGAUGUAAUAAAUUCACUUUUGAAUUUCAUGUGUGAGCGAACAUGAGAUAAUAAAGUUUAUAGAAAAAAAAAAUUGAUUCAUUAUAGAUUUUCCUCUAAGAAAAUUAUUUCUCAAUCACAGAGGGUAAAAUUCCAUGCUCGAACCAAGAAAAAAUAUUCAACCUAACAAUUUCAGCAUUGUUAGUUGUGCUAGGUUUUACGGACCAGGACAUCAUCGUUGUCUACCAAUUUUUUUUUACAGAUUUGAGGCGAUUUAAUUUGGUUGAUAAACACGAGUAAAUUACUCAAAUGCCCCUUGGCAGUUAACUGCCGAAAUUUUAAAAAAUCGGCUGCAGUUAACUGUCGAGAAAUUUCAAACCUGAAAUUAAAUAAGGAAAUACACCUAUGUUUUCCUUAAUUAAAUUUAAAUCUUUAAUCCUUUUAAGGAAUUAAACAUAAUUAUUUUUAUGAUUUCAUUCAUAUGAUUUUGUUGCUAUAAAUGAAGAAAUAUGAGAGAUGAAUAAUAUCUGUAAUCGGUAGUUAAUAGACCUAAAAUGAUGAUUCAAUAAAAAAAAUGCAACAACAAAAACGUUACAAAUGAUAGAAUAAUUAUAUUUGUAAUUAUUAGUAAUUAAUUUCAUUGAUGUUGUUAUUAUUCAUAAGUUUGACUAACCUAUUAUUACUUUAUACUAAUAUUUUAGAUAUUAUUACUUUAAUUAACAUGAAAAACGCAACAACAAAAAAUAAGGGGGAUUUAUUGGAUUAAGAUUCUAUGGGAUUUUAAAAGAUUUUUUAAUUAUGAAAAAGUCUUGUGGUAUUCAAUCAAAACUUUUUGCAGCCGGUUCUUUAAAAUUUCAACAGUUAACUGUCGAAGGAUAUUUGAGUAAAUUACUCGUAUUUCUCAGUCAAACCAAAAGUGUGAACAGCAAUACUCAAUUUCAAAAACAUGUAUAUGCCACGGUAAAUAAAGCCAGUUGUUGACUUGUUGAUAGUUGUGUUGUUAUUACUUGUGUACAAAUGCUUACCAAACGAGGGUGGGAUGUUGGCACUCUGUUAUGUUAAGAAUCUUCACGUUUUGGCUAUAUUCCAAUGGAAGCGACAGAGCCUCAUUUCCGUUCAAUUUCAUCUUUGUUUUUUUAUAUACGACGUACAAAUACUAACUAACUAAAGGUACAUUAACUUUAAAAUAAAGCAAGAAAUUUUGUAGUAUUGCUUACCUAAUAUAUAUAUACCUUACUUUUAAAAAUACAUAUUAAAAUAUAUGUAAUAAAAAAUUAUAUUAAAUGCUAUAUAAAUGUUAAAUGUUAGAGUCUCACAUUGAAUAUGAGAAUAGUAUAACAAUAUGUUUACAAGUUAUUUAUAAUAGGUUCUUAAUAAUAAUACUAAAUAAAUAUCAAAACUUAUUUAUAUAGAAGUUAUUUUAGUAUUAUUAAGAGCCUAUACUUUUUUUUUGAGCAAAAGAGCCUAUACUUAAUUGAUAAGAAAUUGUUACCAAUAUACCAACUCCAUUAAGUACCAUAAAUUUGAGAAAGAGACCUUGCAUAUUUUUCAGGUGAUUUUGUUGACAUCUUUUUCUCUUAACACUAGGAAGGACCCUUUAGUUUUUCAUUGUAAUAUAAAUAUUCUUGUACAAGUUGACUACCUUUGAAUUUGCAUGUCGUCGUUGAUGGCUAUAUAUAGGGUUAGAUCUAACGUCAUUGUUCAUUUGGUGGAAGAUUUUUAUGAGGAGUGUGUGGUACAUAACAUAUGCAACAUAAAUAACAUAUUAGCAGUAGUCUCUGCAAUGUUCGUUAUUGUAAUUACUGGUAAAAUAGCUGCGACACUUUUGUCGCAUGUAAAUUCCUUCUUCACAUGGAAAUCACCCGUCCGUGAGUGAGUGAAUGAAUGAGUGACUAUUAACCAACCAACCCAGUCAUUUCAUUUCGCCUUCACUCUCUACCCGUUACAGUUUUUCUAACUUUCUUUCUUUAGAUUGAGUAACUUCAAUAAUGCAAUGCAACUAAAGAUUAUUACUUACAACUUCUAUGCUCAAAUAAUUGUUGCAAUGCAAUUAAACACUCACUCAUGCGUGUCCCCGUGAGCCUAAUCCAGUUUGUAGAGACAUUGCAUUAUAUAUAUAGAGGUUGGGGUUCAAACUCAAACACUCUACUUAUUCACCUUAAAAAAAAUGAAUUUAAGUCAAUUGGCUACCUGACUAAAAAAAAACGCACUCAUAUGUUUUAUUUCAUAAGCUGGUUUUAGACCUUUUUAUCUGAAAAACUUAUCUCACAUUGUAGUUGAUAUGUAUGGUUAGACCUUUUGUGAGGUUUGUGUGUCCCCUAGUCUAUCACUCUCUCACAGUUAAACUACUUUGUUUUUGAGAGGUUUGUAUACCUUACUUAAAAACAACUAUCAUUCUCUCAUCAAUUUCAUCAUUAAGCUAUUAAAAUUAACUAAAAAGUACCUAAACUAUUCUCACAUAUAACUAUUAGCCCCUUGGUUGACAAAGUUAAUUUUUUUUAUGAUGGUUUAUGGACUAAAUUGAUAUAUUUUUUAUAGUUUAAAGAUCUUCUAGUUGAUUUUAAUAACUCGAAGGCUAUAUAUGUGAAAAAAUUGAUAGUUUAAGGAACAAGUUGAUUGUUUAUUCUUAAUUUGAUUGAAGUCUACUGGCACACAAAUUUACAAGGAUACGGUGGAUAUGGGGAAGUUAUACCUGAUAUCCCUACAUUUAAUCUUUUACCCCCUACAAAUUGUUGAAAAUGCCAAAUUUACCUUUUAUCAUUUCACUUCACCCUGCAUAAAAUUUUAGCCAACAAUACACUUCCGAGAUUUAAUACUCCAAUUUUCGGAAUAUUCAUAUCAAAUUUUUAUGGUAGAUUAAUUUGUAAACCGGAACAAUUGAGUAAAGAAUUAUUAUCAGAAUUCUUUCUUCUUUCAUCGAGGUUUGAGAGACAAUGAAAGAUGGAAAAUAGAAUACAACAACCUGUAUUAGUUAAUAUAAAAUUAAGUGCAAAGCAAAGAUCAUGAUACCAAACCUCAUCAAUUCUUCUUCCAAUUCAUUUUAUUUAGAUCUAAAAAAAUGAAAGGCCGUAUAUUUCUGGAGUAGAAUUUUAGAUGUAAGGUUGGGAAAUCAAAAAACCUGGCUAAAACUGCAGAAACCUGUUUUCUGAAUUCUUUCUAAAAAAACAGUGUAAAAAAAUGCUUGUCUCUUUAUCUGUAGAUCUAAAAAAAAAUCAUUUCUAAUUCAUCUUGUUUGGAAAUAUGAAUACGAAAAGUUGUAUAUUUUAAUUUUUUUUAUUUUUACAAAAUACCGUUGUUGGGAAUGUGAAUAAUCUAAGAUUAAAUGUAGGGGUGGUAAAAGAUUAAAUGUAGGGGUAUAUGGUAUAAUAUCCUGGAUAUGGUAGGCUUAUAUUACUUAGAACCCAAAUCAUGUUACUUAGGCCCGUCAUCAUGGACUUUUUUCAUGUGGUUUCCAUGCAGGCUAGUUGAAUAUUGCUCUUUAGGCAUCCAUGUUUUGCUCUCAGACAUUUUGAAAUUAUUAUUUUACCUCAAUGAAAAUUAAUUACCAUUUGUUGAUGAACGAUGGUUAGUUUUCAUUCUCUUAUGAACAGUAGUUAAUUGUCGUUCUAGGGCAUUUUAUGUGGUUCAGAUUGCGCAGACAGUUUUUGUGGUCCACGAUACAUAAAAACUUCUAUAAAUUGGUGUGUUUGGUUCAUUUGAAACCACACCACAAAAUCAUGAAUAUUUAUCUAGUAGAUCCGAACACCAAAUUAGCGCAGUUAACUACAACGGGGAAAACUCAAUAUGUUUAGGGUUCAGGUUAAUGCUAUAUCGGUUGACUUGAAGGAACAUAGUUGGACCAAAUUAACAGUCGACUCAACCACAAAGACACAAGAAAGGUGGAAAGUGUUGAGUAUCGUCAUCCAUUCGUUUGACUCAUAUGAAAGCGUCAAGUUCACCCAUAUGAAGUUCAAGAACAACGACAUCGUGAGAACCAUCAAGUUAGACGCUUCAUUGGUCAAAUAUUUUUUAGAUGUUCCGGAAAGUUUGAUUCAGAUUAGGACCUUCAAAGAAAACAGGACUUGCAUGGAUAGACCAAAAGAAAUAAGUAUGUCUUAUUCGUGAUUUUGUAUGUGUUUUAUUAUGUUGUUAAAUUAUGUUAGUGUAUUGUGUUUUAUUAUGUUUAAUGUAUGUUUUUGUUAACUUAUGUCAUUGAAAUUAUGUUAAUGUAUUGUAUUUUAUUAUGUUUAAUGUAUGUUCUUCUGAGCUUUCCUUUGUAACUAAUGAUUAACUACAGUUUCUUCUGAAAACAACAAUUAACUAUUGUUCCUAGAAUGGGAGUUAACUCUUGUUUAACAACGAAAAAUAAUUAAUUAUUAUUUCGGAUAAAAUAGUCAAUUUGAGACGUGUUAAAACAAAGUAUGAGUGUCUAACGAACAAUUUUCAAGAUAGUUUAGUCCUUUUUGGGUUCUACCUUUUUUUUUUAUGAGUAACUUCUACACCUAGUUUCCAUUCUUUUUUGUGUUAAUUGUCCGAUUUCUUAGCAUGUGCGUAACUCACGCAGCGUGACUUAAGUCACACAUGUGUAAAAACUAAGUCAUGUAUUUUUUACACUUGCGCUAAUUAACUAACGCAAGGGUAUUUUCGGCAACACUGCAGGGCGCGAGUGUUUUGUGUUGGGUGAAGAGCAGAAUUCUAAAGUCAUAUAUAUAUAUUAUGGUUUUAAAAGGGUAAUUGCUAAAUCAGAUUCAUAGGAAGCAACUAAGUUAAUAUUGAAAGGGCAUGGUAAAGGGCACCCUUGUUCUCAUAUCAUUUCUCAUAUUUCUAAUUUUCUUGUCUAAUUCAUGAGUUACAAGUUUCAACGUGUCUAACGUGAAGCCAACAAAGUCGUGAAUGCUUUUGCAAGGAAUAUCCAACUUCAAAGUAUUAGCGCAGCUUUAACUUGAUGAACAAACUUAGAGUUUUCUAGGGUUUUAAUUUGAUUUUGUUGAAAUAGAGAGAGAAUGAGAAGAAUGGGUGAAUGAGGAGACAAGAAGUAUUAAAGUUGUGAUUUCAUUUAUAUGUAAAAAUACACAUGAAAGUAGCUUAUAUACAUGGUUUUUUGCUAGGUUACUUGAAGUACAAGUCAUAUAACAAACCCUAAAUACCUUAAGCUAAAAUCUAGUAAAUUUGUAACAAACUAUUAACAAACUAAACUAACUAGAUUUCUAAUGUGAUUAACCAAACAAGCUUGAUUAGAUCACUAACAAACUUGAAUUAUCAACUAACACAAAGUUGCGAUAAUAUAAAAAUAAUAUCAGAACUAGUCUCUCUUCAAAUGAAUGAUGCAUCACAACUUAUCUUUCUCCUUUGAUGGAAAAAUUUGUUCUAAUACCAAUUAUUGAAGGAAAAAAAUCAAUAAAAAAUCUUUAAACAAGCGGGAACACAACCACAAAAUAAGUAAAAGAGAUAAAAACAAAUCACAAGCCUAUUUUUCGAUACUUCACAGUUCACACCUUCAUUCAUAAUAUCUUAACAAAAUAUUUGUUACAAAAAUAUGCAUAGUUUUACUAGGAAUUGCAAACCCUCUUGUACAAUUAUAAUUUUUGCACAGAAAUAUUGCAAACUAAUCUUUCUCAAUUACAAUUUUUGUAAGAAAAACUACAAACUCUUUCAUGACACACAACUACCCAACCUCUUUUUUUUUUUUUUUUUUUUUCAUUACUCGAUGUGCGAUGUGAAAGAAUAUCAAUUUUAGAGAACAAAUGGCUAUAAUUUAUAGGUGGCCUUUAUGAUUUUUGGCACAAAUUUUCAUACUGUGAAAUGUGAAUAGAUGCAUGUGCAGAGAUGGAGUUCAUAAUUUAAAUCUUACGUUAAAAAUAAAACAAGUUUUUAAUGUUAUAGUUUAAAAAUAAAAAAUUGUUUCUUAUAUACAAUAUUUUUAUGAAUAUUUACAUAGUUCUUAAAAAAAUUAAUAAUGAAUGGUAUAUUCGUGUCCUGUAUGACACAAUGAAACAUAUGCACAUGAUUAAAUUAUACAUUAAGCCUAAUCAUAUGAUCUGAAAAGAUUUUCUCUACAUUUCGUCGAGCUAGCAAGGUAGAUAGAUGUCAACUAAUAAGUUGAUGAAAUCGGCUAAAAAAGAUUCCCAGUUGAAGUUUAUUAUUUUUUUGGUGCAACCCAGUUGAAGAUUUUAUUAACUUUGAUGAUGGCUCUGAACUACCAAGUUUUCUAGAACUUGAACAAGUCCUUAAUUUUAGUUGAAUUGCAAUACUAUGUCUAUAUGUAUAGUAUACCGUUUCUGGUUUCAUAGUCUGUUAAUUUUAAGGAAUUUUUUCAAGUGGCUCAAAAAAAACAUAUACAGUACAUUCUUUAGUUUUAUUUACAUCGUUUUCAAUCUCUUUCGCUUUUUUAAAUAUUUACGCAGAAAACAUUUUUUUUUUUUUUUCAAUCAGAAAGAGGCAAAAUUAAGAUUUGCAUUGGUUUUAGUCAUCACCUACUACAUUAAAUUACUAUUUGUGGAAAAUAUUGUUUAUAGCGUGAAACUGUGCUCUGACUGGCUCACAUGCAAACGGACAGUGGCAAUAUUGUUUAAGGAAGUAUUAAUCUUUUUUUUUUUUUUUUUUUUGACAGAAACCAUAUAGUAUUAAUCUAUUAUUACUACUAUAUAUGCAUAAAAAAGGACCAAUUAACCGACAUGCUUUGAGUUAUUUUGUGUUUUUUUUUUUUAUUGUUUCUGAAAAAAUCAACCAACAUGCUUCUUUUUUUGCGCUAACUAAAACUAAUUUAUUUAUGCUACUAAUCAAUUUAUUAAGACUAAAACUUGAGUACAAGUUAGUCUUUUUUUUUGUAGUUGGUGACCUACAAGUGGUACUCUUGUACUCAUUAUACUCAAAGUCAAGGGUACAUGCGUAUGUGUUAUGCUGAAUUCGAAAAUUCAUAGUCAAGACCCAGCAAUAUCAAGAUAUAUACACACAUGUCCUAAAGUGCAUUCUGGAGAAUAAGAACUACAAGUCUAAAGUUUUUCUUUUUGUUAGUAAAGUUAUUUUAGUCCAAGUUUAGACUAUACAACGCUGACUAUGAAAUAUGAAAGGAAAAAAAAACCUUCAAUUUUUGUCAAAAAAAUAAAUUCCAUUGUCUCUAACUAAUUAUUGAAAUUUUAAACAUGUGUUUGGUCUAACGGUAUGGUAGAAAAAAUCACGGCAAAAAUUCACGGUAACUACAAAAUCUAAAAAUUUGUAAUUUCUUUGAAAUUUGAGUUUGUAACUUCGAACGUCAAAUAAUCGUUCAUUAAGUCUCUAAAGCUCACAUGAUCAGACCAGCUUUGAUUGCAAAAUAUGACCAACUAAUUACUAAUAAACAUUUAAUUUUGUUAGCAGAUCAAUUUAUCUGUUUAAUGUUAAAAUAAAUCUGAUCCAAUUCAAUACUUUUGGACAUAGAUUGAAAUGGUUUCCCCCCCCCCCCCCCCCCCUUUUUUUUUUUUUUUUUUGUAAACUAGGUAUCCUCCGCGCGCAACUGCGGAGACUAAUCCCUCGAGCAUUGUGAGACCCAAAUGGACGGCAGACUCUCCCUAAGAGUUUUAACGCUGCUGGAGGUAUUGUAAAUAAUAUUUUGUGUUAUAUUAUUUUUAAGAGUGUAUAUUUCUAUAUAAAAAGAGUGAGUUUUGCCUUCAACCUCGAGGUAAUCGGUUUGAGACCUAGGCACUGAGAACAUGAGUUUUUUCGAUUAGCUCUUUAAAAAAUUAUUUAUAGGAGGAAUAAUUGUUUUUAUGGAAUUUGUCGUGUAAUAAAAAUCUAAAUCGUCUAGUCUACAAUUUUGUAUAGUCUUCAAUUAUGUUGUGAAUUCGGGCUUUGAAACUUCACACCAAUCCAAACUAUGAUGUGUGGAGAAAGUAUCAAUGGCAACCAACAACCAAAUUAACCAUAAGCAAUAACAAUAAUAUAUACCAAGUCUAUAAACCAAGUGCAUAGCAAAAUCACAAUCCAACCAAAUAAUAAACAAGAUAAAAGAGUAAAGAAAAAUAGACAACAACACCAAGAGAUUGUUCACCCAGUUCGGUCCAACCAUGACCUACUCUGGAGGAGAGAUUGAUCUCUUCAAUCCACUAUCAAUGAGUUCUUACAAAGAGAUACAAAUGAGUUACAAGAAAUUAGCUUCAACAAGCUCACAAAAAACAACCCUAAUUUCUACCAAUUUUCCCAAUCUCACCAAUGAACAAGACACUCAUGAUUUUUACUCUCCCAAGGUGUUUACAAUUGUUUCACAACUCUAGAAUCUAACCCCCAAAAGAGAACCAACUCUUAGCCUUUGAUUUCACUUAGGAUCUUCUCUUUUGGUUUCACAAGACUCACCCAAGUUGCUCGCAAAUGACUCUCCACUCAUGUGUUUCCCAACCCCAUGAAUCUUCUCCAAAAGGCACCAACCCUUUUCACAAGAGCCCCCUCUUUUGGUUCUCCAAGAUUCACAUCUUGAAGCUUUGAACCUCACCCAAAGACCCUCAACCUUUAGUAUCUAAAACCCUAAAAGUUUCAUCCUUUGGUUGUUAUGGGAUUCACCAAGCUUACCCAACAAAUGGAUCAGGGAGUGUUUAAAACAUGUUUCAGAUCUGUCAAAAUCGUGUCACAUUUUGCCUUCAGAACCAAACAUGCAUUCGGCAUCAGAAAUCGUGACACGGUUGCCAAAUCGUGUCAUGAUUCUUCACUUUCAUAAAGACUUAAUUUUGAGUCAUAUAUAUACCAACAAAUUCAAAUUAUAUAAAUGGACGGUAUAUUCUUUAGUAAAAGUAUUAUUUCACAAUUUAAUACGUAUUAUUAAAAGAAAUUAGAAACAAUUAUCAAAAAAUUAUGAUAGAUAAUAUAUUAAACUCGUCUAGUGUGUGUGUAUUUUUGAAGGAUAGUGUGUGUGUGUAUUAACAUCAUUCUCUAAUUAUUUUUGUAGGGAAACAAUGUUGGUUAAAUUGAUGUGUACUUUUUUUUGUAAAAAAUAAUCGACGUAUUUUUAAAUGAGAUUUACAUGUAGAGAGAGACAGCGGUAGACAUAGUAGUAGAACAAUUAAAAUUUAAAAGACCACUUUACAAAUUGCACCAAGUGGUCCUCUAAAAAAGAUCACCGACAGUUGCUUCACUUUACCUUCAUAUAUUUUAGAGCAAUGAUAUUUGAACAAUUAUUUAGUACAACAUUUUUUGACAAUCUUCUUUUUCUCUCUUUUUAUUGGUCAAAAAUAAUGAAGAGAAAAAAGAAGAGAUAGAGUAAAAAUAUAAUAUGAAUAUGAGAAAAAAAAUUGUCUAAAAAUUAUCACAAAAUGGUUGUACAAAUAUUAUUUCUCCAUAUUUUAGACACAGGCUAAUCAUUAAUUAAUUUGUGUAAAAAAAAACAAUAAUAUUAUUUUGACAACAUUAUUCAACACCUUAUCUUUCUUUCAAAAAACAUUAUUCAACACCUUAUGUUCAUAUUAUCAUUUGAUUUUCUUAAUUAUGUUUUACAUCAGUCACAUCAAGUGACAUUUUACACGCUUAUCAAUUUUUUUUGUCAAGUAGCCUAGUGUUUAGAACUCAUAUAAUUUAAUUGUGAAGAAAUGAAGUGUCAGAGAUUCGAACUCCAACCCCUGCAUAUAAUAUGCAAUAUCCCUACCAACUGAACUAAGCUCACGAAGAUCGCGGUUAUCAAUUUUUGUAGUUCAAAUAACAUCACUAAAAAAAGCUACGAGGCAGACGCACAAAUUUUCAUUGAGCAGUUGUGUUAAUUAAUUUUAUAACGCAAGGAAAAUGGUGAAGUUUUUGUGAAUAGAGAAAUGAUAUAUAUACAAUCAUUUUCAAACAACUUUUGUAAUAACUUUAUCUCUCAUUUUUAUAUUUUAUUUUUAUUUUUUUCUCUAUUAUUUUGGUUUUCGUUUAUGAUUUUUUGUAAGAAAAUGAUUGUCUAUGUAGUUAUCAAUCACAUUGAUGUUCAAAUAACAUUGCUUUUGUGAAUAAUGCAAAAUAGUUUCUCGGAACAAUCAAUUAUUCAAUUGAUAUUUACGAAAUUAGUUUUUGUAGGGUGUCCCUAUAAAUCACAUAUACUUUAAAACAGUCAUAUGUAUUCACGAUUCGAGAUCUUAUAAAAAAACCAUUCCAGAUCAUGUAUGAAAAUGAAAUAUAUAUUUUUUUUGACUGGUGUAUGAAAAUGAAAUAUUUUCAAAAAUAAAAUAUACUCUCUGCCCAUAUAAUGUCAGCGUAGGUGUCGGUGUUUUUCUACCGACUAUAAGAAAAACUGUAAAAUAAAUAAAACAAUAUAGUAAUUUAAAUUAGUGAUUGUAAAUUAUUGUCUUAAAUGUAUAGUUCAAUAUAAUAGAUUAAAAAUGAUGAAAAAAAUAUUAAUUUAAGAGUAGAAUUGAAAUAACAUAUAUGUUUUCGAUAGUUUAACUAAAUUGAUAAAGACAUUGCAUAAUAAUAUACAAGUGUUUUGAAAUUCCAUUUAUUCAUUACAUGUGAAUUUUUAGAUAUUAAACUAUUUGGAAAAUAAAAUAAAAUAUCAAAUAAUUAAGGUUUAAAUAUGUAAGUAGUCCCUGUAAUUUCGCGUAUUUUUGUUUUCGUUCCUGUAAGUUAUUUUGUUCUAAAACAAACUCUGUAUUUUGCUAACCUUUUGGAAAAGGUCCUUGCCGUCAGCUUCCGUCAACAAAAACGCCAUGGUGGCUAACGGAGCACACGUGGCAGUUCAUGAGUUGGCAAAGUUGAUGAGAUGGAAUGAGAGAUGAUAAGUUGUUAAAAUACAGGGACUAAAAUCAAAAACGUAAAUUGACACAGGGAUGAAAUUAAAAAAACGUUUAAUCUUCUUUUUCCUCUCAAAUUUCAGUCUUCUUCUUCCUCUCAAACUUUCCCCAAUCUAUCCCAUACCUUGCGCCCUUGAACCAAAACUCAUAUCCUUCAACAAUUUAUUCUAAUUCCAUUACUCAAUCAUAUUGUGUGUUUUGAUUGUAAUGUUAAGUUGAAACAUUGUAUGCUACUUAAGUUUGAUUAAUUUAGUGAUGGUUGUUGCGAUUGAUUGCAAAUUCAUUCAUAAAGUUUGUAGAUAAUAAAGGCAAGAAUACAUCUUUUUCAUCCCUCUUUUUUUUCCACAAUUCCCUCUUAUUCUUCCAGAUUGCUACAAUUACCAUACAUAAAUAGUCAGAUCCCCUUUCAUCUUUUCUCACUCACAUUCAAAUUCAAACUCUAAUUUCUCAAAUUUUUGCUUUUGAAUUGUGUAAUUUUGUGUUUUUAUGUAAUUGGUGUAGAGAGUUUAUGUUGUUUUAAUGUGUUGAUUAAGAGUGGGUCUUGUUGUUGUUGAUUGAUGAUUAUUAGUUUUGUUUAAAAAAAUAUAUAUGUUUGUUGUUUUCUUUCUUUUCCUGGGUUUGGUGUUGAUGAUUUAUGAAUAUGGUGAUGAAGAUGAAGAAGACAAUGAAGGAAGAAGAAGAAUAAGAUCUUGAUUUUAAAUUUGAAAUUUUGAUUUUACGUUUUUUAUUUUAGUCCCUGUGGUAAUUUACGCUUUUGAUUUUAGUCCCUGACUUUACACAACUAAUCAUCUCUCAUGCCAUCUCAUCAAAUGUGCCAAGUCAUGACCUGCCACCUGUGCUCCGUUAGCCACAAUGGCGUUUUUGUUGACAGAAGCUGAUGGUAAGGACCAUUUUCAAAAGGUCAAAAAGAUACAAGGUUUAUUUUAUAUAAAAAAAAAAACUUACAAGGACGAAAACAAAAAAUACGCGAACUUAGAGGAACCUUUUACAUAUUUAAGCCAAUAACUAAUAGCACUUAUUUUGGUACAUUUCUCUUUUGCAAAUGUGAAACUUAAUAUUGGAUGGGGUCAAUAAUUUUGAGAAUGAAUAAACCCAUUAUUUAGUCUUUUAAUUUUUUUUUUCCAUCCAUCAGGUUUCUAAACUAUUUACAAACACUAAAUGUCCUUAAGACAUAGCUCAAGUAACAAUAUUGAUAUUGAGAAGUUGGAUAUUUUCAUCCGAGUUUGAACUCGAAUUCUUGCAAUUACGAGUGUGAAUUUCAGGUAAUUUAUAUCAAUUUAUCUGUAAACAAAAGGAGAUAUAUACGCGUAACAAAUAGGUCUAAUGCAAAUUAACAACUUAUUUUUAGUUUAUAAAAUAUAUGAAAUUUAAUCCUUUAGUCCCUAGUAUAUUUUAACAAUGGGCACUAAAGCAACAUAUAUUUCAUAUAUUUUAAAUACUACUACAUCUUUCCUUAUGUAUAAGCUCAUUUGACAUUUUCACAUAUAUUAAAAAAGUUAGUAGUGUCUUGACAAAAAAGAAGCUCCUUAGAGUUUCCUUAUGUAUAUUUUUUUAAACCGAAAAAAUUGUGUACAAAAAAUGACUAUUAUUACUAAAAAAAAUCUUUUGCAUAUAGAUGUGUUCAACAUUUAUUUUGCAAUUCUCAAGACAAAUCAGUGGUACAUCUUAAUAAGUGAUAUAUUUGUUAGGAAAAAAAAUUACUAUAUGUAUCUAGUUAUUUGCAAGACUAAUGAUUCUUAGCAAAUAUGCUUAUAUUGAGAGAACUUUUUUCUAAAGAGAGCUUAUAAUUAGAGACUAAGAUUUUGCCAAAAAAUAAAGAAAAAUUAGAGAAUAAGGUUUAUACUAUACUUUAGAAACUAAUUUGAUGAGAUACGACUAAAUCGAAGAUAUAUUUUUUUAGAAUAGUGUUAGAACCUUAGAAAUUAUAAUCAAUAGAAAUAGAAAUGUUCCUUACAGAUCCAUAAUAGUGACAAUCUUGUCUUUUCUUUUGAGGAAAUAAUAAUAAAGGUGGUGCCAACAUUUCAACAAACCUAGCUAUUUUAAUUAUUCUGUUCUCACAGCCUGCACCUUAGAUCAAAUCCAAAUUGGGUCAUCACCGUUCCAAAAUGCUUAGGGACGUUACUCUAAAUGUCAAUAUGAAUGAGUAAUUCAAAUAGUUAACAUAGCCCGCCAGCCUUAUAUAAUAAUAUCAAUAUAUGUCGACUAAUUAUCGAGAUGCUAAAUUGGAGUACACUUCACAAACAAAAAUCUUUCAUAAGGCGUUUUUUCUCUUAAUACAUUUUUUCUUUUCUUAUGCUAGUAACAUUUACUCUGUAUUGGCCUUCCUAAGAAGAAGUUGGAUAGUAGCAAUGUGUUCGUGAGACUGCUGAUAUCUUAAAAGAAUGUUCUCAUAGAUUCCACUUUUUUAGUAAGCUUUUAUGUGUAUGAGUUUGCAAAUUUAACCCUUUUUAAUUCGGAUAGAUUUAUAAGUCACACCUUCAAGUACAAUCGACAAAAUUUCAGUAAUAAUUACGGUUUAGGGUUUAUGGGUCUAGAUCUACUAAAAAUGAGUGGGUGUAUAAAUUAGUAUAUCCUAGAGUUUAUUAUCUUACGUUCGAUCUUCUUUGCAGAAACUCGUGCAUGUUCGUGAUAUAUAUUUUCGCGAGAAGUACAUUUCCCUAAAACAAAAUCAACCACUGACAUAAACACGUCAAAUGUAAGCCGGUAAAUCCAAGCUUUACUAACACGAGUUAUAUUAUAUCAUUGGCAUCAGCUACUUAAGAACUACUGUAGAAAAUUUACAGCAAGUCAUCGAGGCUUAAUAAAAUGUGUUGAUAUAGUUACAAAGAUAAAUUAAAUAGCAGAGCAUACAUGAAGAGAACAAAUGUAGAGCAACCCCUUAAACAAACCCUCUCAGUAAGGUAUCUUCACAUUACUCUAAGUUCAUAAAAGAUGACUUUAAAAACGAUUAUUUCAAAAUGCAAGUAUUCUCCGACCCCUUUUUCCCGGAUCUAGAUCUAAUAGUGUAAGGAUAUAUAUAAAUCAUUGUCACAUUUUACAACUCAAGAGUUUACCUCAACUCGUUUUGUUUAGGUAAAUUCGACUCGAGAACUCGUAUGACUUUACCUAAAAUUAAAAUUAUAUAAAAUUUAUUAUAUAUGCAUGACAUAUGUAAGUUAAUAUAAUAUUGUAAAUAGGUCAAUAGUGCAAAAUAUGACUUAAUUACAAAGACAAAUUAUACCAUAAUAAAAUGUUAUGCUCAACUUAGCUUCAAAAUACAAAAAUUAACGCACAAAAUCAUAAGUCUCUAAGUUUAAGCCAUCCAUAAAACCAUCCAAAAAAAGAAAGUUUCACAAGUUCCUAAAGUUAUUAAUAAAACUAUCUAAAAAAUAAAGUAGUUAAUUUCUUCAAAACGUCAACAAACACCACCACAACAACCCUAACCAGUGUCACAAUCACCGGCGUUGAAAUAUGAAUUUCCACCGUCUGAAUCACAACCCUAAAUGGUAUGUGCUCCCCUGUUCAUGGUUUGAGAACUUAGAAAAGAAAAAGGGCAAUCCGGUGCACUAAAGCUCCCACAUACGCAGGGUCCGGGAAGGGGUCCCACCAUUUUUUGUGUAUUGUACGCAACCUUACCCUGUUUUUGAUCACAAAAGAAAAAGAAACGUUUCAUUUUAGGAACAACUUGUCACUGUAAAGGUAACUAUUAAUUAAACGUUUCAGUCUUUGGGGUUGUAGAAAAGGAAUUGGAUUUUGAAAAAAAUGGGCACAUAAAAAGGGCCAAUUUUUAGAUGUAAACUCGUAAAACUCAGUAAACUCGGUCGAGUUUACACGAGUUUACCUAGUGUUAACUCGGUCAAACUCGUUAAACCUUCCAAUUUUACCAGAAACCGAGUUUACCUCCGAAUUAACAUGAUUUUGGCACCUACGUAAACUCGAAGAGUUAACACUCAAUUUGCGGAACAUUGCAUAUAUAUUUAAAGAUAUAUGUAUAAUUAUAGAGAAAGUAGAGAAGGGAUAUACCAUUUUAUGUAGGGUUAUUAUGUAUCAAAUCAUAAAGAGUCGAGAGUUGUAUUAUACCAUAAUAUUCUUCCGUAAACUGGUAGUCAUGAUCAUGACGUAUAUUAUUCAAGUAUAUGCAAAAACAUGUCUGUAUCUAGUCUAAAUUUUUGACCAAAUGCAUGUAUUUGCUUAUAUUUUGUUACUACUUACUACUCGCCAAGUAAUGCUCAAUAUCUAAUAUAUAUAUUUCAAGACCAUCAAAGAUAACUCAGUUGAACAAUACAUAAUAUAUGCAAGGUUCGGGGUAUAUUACAUUUUCAAUUAUUCUAAUAAUAAAUUUAAAUGACACUUAAAUUAUACAACUAUUAAAUAGAUCUUAGUACCGUAAAAUUUAUAUUCGAGACUUGCUAGGGAGAACCAUCAACCUCAACAAAAAUUUCUACUUGAAUCUAACGCAAACAAAAGGUCCAACCAUCUAUGAAUCUCCGUUGAUAUCACAAAUGAUGUUUGAUACAAGAGAGACAUAUUAGAACAUAAUCUAUGUACAAUCUACAUUAAAAUAAAAAACAAGUCUACAGUCAUAUAAAUAACACAAUUUCAAAAUCUCAAAAUUAGGUAUGAAAACAAAAUGAUUAGAAAAAUAAAUGAUUCAAUCAUUCCGAGAUUUGUGCAAAAAAAAAAAAAAAAACAUUUUGAAAAUACAAUGUUAGAAACUUAUGAUCAAUAUAUAUUUUUCCUUACACAUCAAAAAUAAUUAAGCUAUAUUCUUGUCUUUUCAUUUUGGGCAAACUAAAAUUAAAAUCAAGGUAGUGUCAAUGUUUCUAUAGUCCUAGCUAUUUGAUUUUCUUCUAAGCUAACAAGAGUCUUCCAAAAUCAAAUUCGCGCUCAAAAUUAAAGCAACUUGGGUGGUAACCAUUCCAAAAUACUUAGGGCCACAUUGCUCUAAAAGUCAAUAAGAAUAAGUAAUAAUUCAAAGAUAGCCAACCUUAUAGUAUAUUUUAAUAUGAAUGUAUGCAUGUUUCCUAGAAGGUGAGUAAGCUAACUAAUCAAGAUACUUUGUUGGAGUUAAAUAUGGUAAAGAAUCCAACUAUAAAAUGGGGACUUGCCCCAGCAUUCUUUCACAAACCAAAACCAACUUCUAAGAAAAAAAUGAGGUCCCUAAUGGCCUCUGCUUCUCUCACUCUUGCAUUAGCCAUCCUCUUUUUGAGUUUCCCAUCUGAAAUUUCAGCAAACAAAUACGCAUAUUCCUCUCCACCACCACCACAUUACUCAUCUCCUCCACCUCCACCGGUUCACACUUACCCUAAACCAGUCUACCACUCUCCACCACCACCAGUUCACACCUACCCUAAACCAGUUUACCACUCUCCACCACCACCAGUUCACAAGUACCCUCACCCUAAACCAGUAUACCACUCUCCACCACCCCCAGUUCACAAGUACCCUCAUCCACACCCAGUCUACCAUUCUCCACCACCCCCAGUUCACAAGUACCCCCAUCCUCACCCAGUGUACCACUCUCCCCCACCACCACCACCAAAGAAGUCCUACAAAUACCCAUCUCCCCCACCACCACCAGUUCACACCUACCCUAAACCAGUCUACCACUCUCCUCCACCCCCAGUUCAUCACACCUACCCUAAACCAGUCUACCACUCUCCUCCACCCCCAGUUCACACCUACCCUCACCCUAAACCAGUCUACCACUCUCCACCACCCCCAGUUCACACUUACCCUAAACCAGUCUACCACUCCCCACCACCACCAGUUCACACCUACGUCCCUCACCCUAAGCCAGUCUACCACUCUCCACCACCACCAGUUCACACCUAUCCCCCACAUGUUCCCCACCCAGUUUACCAUUCUCCUCCUCCUCCAGUUCAUUCCCCACCUCCACCACACUAUUACUACAAAUCACCUCCUCCACCUUACCACAACUAGAUAGCCCAUAAUUGGCAUCACACCAUAUGGUAACUUUUCAUGCAACAUAUAUAUUAUAACUUUUCAUAUUCUCUCUUUAUUAACUAGUUAUCGGUAUGAUUGUCGAGUAUAUACUAACAAGGCUAAUUUGAAAUGAAACUUCAUGUGCAAUGAAACAUUCUUUUACUGGUUAAUAUUUUAUUCUAUGUUUCAUUGAAAUUAAUAUUUUUCUAAUAGUAUUUGGUUAUUAAGGGAUUAGAGUAUAUCAGACAUAAACUGACAGAUCAAUAUAUUUGCAUUUGUGUA
rnacentral:lncRNA from 1 species